rnacentral:lncRNA from 1 species
UUUUUCAGAUUCACGACUUUUUCAAAUUAUUUUUAUGUUUUGGAACAUAUUUAUUUACAAUAAUUUCGAAAAUAAGAACAAAAGUAUACAAAAGAACAAAGGAAAAAAAACAAUGGAAAGGACGAACUAACCCGGGGCAGCCCAUUUAUAGCGCACGCUCCUUCUCGCGCCAAGCGACACAUGUUAAACAAUCGAUUUUGUUGUUAGACUCAGAGAUAUAGUAGUAUAAGGUAGGAGGCGUGCAAAGCGAGAUGCCGACGUGCUGUGCAACGGGACCACAGGUCACUGUGAUGGACCAAGGAGCUCCUCUGUUGUAGUCGUCUUUUCGAAGAUCGAGGGCGACGCCGAUGAGGUGCUGGUCACCGACGGCACCGAUUACGCCGGUGUGGAUACUGACCAGCCCCUCUCCAGACCGAGCACAGGAAACCAGCGCCAUUUCAACCAAGAGGACGAAUCAUUUCAUCCAGUUAUACUUACAGUACUGCAUUGUUUCCAUUUUUUAGACCUCGCUUUCACUGUAACCAAGCAAGCAGGGCACACGCCGUACCCCAUUCUAAACGAAGUCGAUCCACACUGCAGUAACAGGAAAAAGUUCAGAGAUCCAUUGUUUCGAAACAAAAGUUCAGAGAUCGUAACAGGCUUCAAACAUUGUAACCGGGCACACAUCAUAGCGCUCGAUAGGGCGUCCGCACUGAACAAGCAAACAAAUACAUCCAAACCGCGCUUCACUCUCUGACAACCGUUCACCAAGCGAAUGCAUCUAAUCCACACAUCCCACUUUCUCUUCCAACGCCAGGACGCGCUCUCAGAGGAAUCAGCUCUUCUUCCACACGGCAUCAGCAUCUGCGGAUAGAUGAAACAACAUCAACUUACCAUAUGAACAAAGGCACCAAUAACAAGCAUCAAAUAUAAUAAUAUAUAGAUCGCUGUGUCUGAUGCAAGCAGUUGACACUGGAUAUUUGCAACGAGGUGCCUAUCACAUUAUCAGGGAAAAGGACUUCAACCGUGUAUUUUGCAAACAUGCUGAUGAACAUAUGGCAGUAAGCCACAAGCCGAAAUUUCUAUGUGCGCAUAUGAUUAAGCAGCCUAGAGUUUAUACGAUAAGAAUGCACUACACUGAGGUUUGCGUUUGAGAAACCGAUUUAUCAAAUAACGAAACAAGGCCCAUGGCAGGUGCAACAGCUGCGGAGCUUCAACAGGAAGAUGCAGAUUUCAGAGGAGACAUUAAUGAGGCCAGCAAGUGUGUAGAUGAAGAAAGGAUAUGAUAUAGCAACACAAGGACUUAUUAAAUACAUCUGACCAGGGAAACAAAAGCAAAUGUUCAGUGGUGCAUCCAUGUAUACAACUCUUUUGUUGUUGUAUGUCUUGUUUUUCUUUUGUCUAUAAGAAUAAAGUUACUUAUGUAGAUCAGAUGUAAUAAUACAAUAAUAUCCUUAUGCCUAUGAUUGUACUAUAUGUGACCUCCUCCUUCCUGUUUAGCAGUUCAACAGCAGAAAAUCUACAGACAACCGAAAAACAAUUUUUCCCCUUCGGGCUGCUGUAUACUACUGAUAUAUGGAGUAAUCUGUAGUGGAUUGUAAUCACAUAAAAACAAACUGCUAGAACUGCUGUUCAGAGCAGAAACAUGGGGCUGUUGUAAUUAGAUGAUUUCGACUCAUACACAGGUUAUAUACCAAAAUAGAAACUGGAACUUGGAAAUGACUUGAACAGCUCGACCAACUCAUGUAGUAGAAAUUUCAAGCCCAAUAGCAACUCUGGAUUACUAACAAUAUUUAACAGUAAUGAACUAGUAUCAAACUAGGCAGAGUGGAAAAGCAAAUUAUCAUGAAAUAAAUACCUGAAUCAUAUAUCUUUGCUGUGUAACACUGGGACCAUGUUAAAUAAAAUUAAGCAAAUAACAUGCUCACCACUUCAUAUAGUUGGUGCACAUAAUGAUGGUGGGAAACCAGCAUAUAGUCGACCAGAUAAGAUGAUUUUGCUAAGCUCAGCGAACAACUCGACCUGCAACGUCUUGACGUCCACCGAAAAUAACCCAAACAUCACCUCCUCUCCUGAAGAUGUGAUGUACAUCGCUCCUAUGAGCAGGUAUCCCCCGCCUACACCAAGCAGAACAACAUGAUGCAUUUCCGGCAACGGGAUGACCUUCUCCAAGUGCCAUUGGUUAUUUCUCAGAAUGGAAUACCUCAGCCAACAUGGUUCAUACAUGUUACCCCUGUCAUAGACUUCAGCGAGCAUUCCGAGCAUUCCUUCUGCUGCCUCAACAAUGACGAAAUUGCUGCUCCAUCCUUGUUCAGGUGGUAGGUUGACAGCAGAGAACUCCAUGGCACGUGUAUCAAGCAGAACCAACUUGUUCAGGAGGGGAAAACGCCAACAGAAGCAUCCGUGGACGAACUGACGAUCUGAGAGCCCAUCCUUGGUGCCUUCAAGUGGAGCAAACGUAGCUUGAGCACUCCAUUGGUCAAAUGCAAGAGAAUGCCACUGCCAAUCCAAAGAGGAGAAGACGAGCAGCAGCAGAUUCAUUCUGCACUGCAGCAAGCACAUGACCCUGAAUGAUAACGGGUCCUCUUCAUCAUCGCCGGGAGCAAGGAAAGUCUCCAGAUGGAGGAGGUCCGGUUCACUGACCAGCGCUUUCAGGUCGCCGGGGACGGCGGGCAGCAGGAUGUAGCGGCCGUGCACGGGGUCGCACACAGCGAGGUCCCUUACCGAAAAAUAGCGCAGAUGAGAGCUGCCGCCUUUGCCUGGGACUGGGGCGCCGUCGAGGAGGGCGCGUCCGUCCAAGAAGUCAAUCGCGCUCCAGGUACGUCCGGUGGUGGAGGGGAGGAAGGAGGAGCAGGAGAAGUCGAAGCCGGCGAAGGCGCGGGCGGCGAAGGCGGAGGGGUGCGGCGGCUGGGCCGGGAUGAAGGCGCUGUCGUCGAACGCGCCGAUGAGAGGCGGCGGGUGGUGGGCGCGGUAGCGACGGAGGAAGGCGUGGUCGGUGAUGAGACGGCGGAAGGAGGGGCACGCCGCGGAGGCGCGGGCUAGGUCGGCAGCAGUGGGGAGACGGAGGAAGAUGUCGCGGAGGAGCUCGUCUGGGGUUUGGAAGAUCGGCGUCUCCGGCAGCGGUGCUGGAUGCGGCGGCGGCAUCGGGCUGGCCGGCGGGGAAAUUGGGGAUCUACAAAAUGCUCAACCUUUUUUUUUUUGCCAGGCAAAUGGGUGUCUCUUGUACGGCUUCUACGAUGGGCUCUGCAGAUGGAUGAGCCUCCAAAUGUUACACGCCUUAUUAAUCAUCAAAUCGACUCAAAAAAAUAUUAAUCAUCAAAUCAACUCAAAAAAAAUAUUAAUCAUCAAAUCGACUGAAAAUUUGCCUAAAAAAUCAAAUCGACUCAAAAACUUCGCUCGCUAUGCAAUGUACACCCACCCAUCAGACCAAAUCAUCCGUCCAUCAAUUCCAUCCAUCACCACCGUGGACAUGUUGCUGCCUUAAACCUUUUUGCCAUCGUCAUCACCCCUGGUGUCCAAACCAGAACCAGAACCUUGGACGCCAUCAAUGCUACAAGCACGACCGCUUCAGCCAAAUUUGUUAAUAACCAAUCUGGAUGUCAGGAUGCCGGAGGUGAAGGACAUCAACGAAAUGCCCUUCACCGUGAUUUGUUCCGUCGUUUUUCAUAUUUCUGCUUACUGAUUCUUAUGGAUAUUUCAUUAAUAACGGCUCAGUGACAUGCAAUGGGAGCGAGUAGGAAGCUUCUUGUUUCGCUCCACGUGGAGGCAAGGCCGUCGAGGCAGUCGACGAUGCACCUGGACGGUUUCUUGGCGGCCGCCUCCACUGCCGCCUUGGCGCCCACCUAGAUCGACAUUCCAAUUACGUCCUUCACCUUCGGCGUCCUGGCCUCCAGCUUGGCUAGGAACAGAUGACUGCACUGAAAUUGGGCCGAAGCGGUCGCCUAUGUUGGGUUUCUAACCUUCACGCUCAGGCCGGGUUCUGGUUCUGGUUGGACACAUGGGGUGAGGAUGACGGCAAGAAGAGCCAAGAUGUAGGUUUAAGGCAACGACAUGGCCAUGGCGAUGAUGGAUGAAAUGGAUGGACGGUUGAUUUGGUCAAGUGGGUGGGUGUACAUUGCAGCAAGCGAGCGAAUUGGCUAGCUGGUGUUCCCCUUCUUAUAUAUACACCUAGAUAGUAGCCCAUACAUGUAUGCCUGACUGCUUAUACUUCUAUGUGGACGUCCAAUUUUAUAGGCAGGCAAUUAAGGAGGAGCUAGCUAAUUAAGUUGUGGCCAUGGAUCCAUAGACUUGUUCUCCCUAUACCUAAUAUAGAUAGAGAAGCUCGUUAGCCUGUUUAGCUUAAUAGUUGGUCUCCUUCAGCCUUUCCUAUACUAGAUGACCCGUUACACCCAUGGCACAAAAGGCGAGAGUGAGCCGAGUAUUCAAACCAUGCAUACGUGAUUAAUUUAGAACCAAUUUAGGGCGUGUUCGGCAGCCAGCUUCUCCAACUCCACGAUUGGAGCUGAGCCGAACGCUCUGACUCCGCGGAGUUCAGAAUCAAGAAGCCAGCUGCCCGCGUAGUGUAAAGACGGAGGAAACUGAGAAGCUAGCCUUUCCCGGCUCUGAAAAUUGAGGAAGCGGGAGUUGAGACAUAUUACAACCAUAUGCCACCGCCAAGUGAGUCCCUAGCAUACCGGUUUGCUCAUUCUGUUUCUCUCCCCGAUUUUUUUUCUCGUGCACGACCAGAUGCACAGGGAGAUGCACAAGGAGAUGGAUGCUGGGAGCGGACGGGCUGAACGAUUUCCCGGAUAGACUGGGCCACAUGCGCUUAAAUGGGCCGGAGGCCUGGUAGAGCGACCAAAUAUAGAAGCUGUCGUGCCGAACGAUUUCUCGGUCGCCACAUGAAGUGAGAAGCCACACGAGAAGCCAGAUUUGAGAAGUUUUAGAGAAGCUGGGAGGUUUCAGAACACACCCUUAAUAGAUACUUAUACCCAUUACAUGGUACUAUGAUAGACUAAAAGAAAGUAAUGUGAUCACUUGAUAAUAGCAUACAUUGGUUUUAUAAAGCAACUAUGGUAGCAAAGAUGCAUUGUAUAGCUGCCAACUGGAAAGACCAGGACAUGGAGGUGAAUAGUAACUGCUUCAUGCUAUGAUGUGGAGUGUUCUCUAAAAUCUGAUACUGCUUGCACUUGCCCCCGAAAUGAAUAGUAAUAAUUUUAAGAGGAUAAAUCACUCAGAGGUUUGGUUCCUAAUUGGAGCAGCUAAAGAAGCAAAGUAGCUAAUCUUAGUCUGUAUAUCAAACAUUGUUUGGAACAGUUGACAAACUUAUGUGCCUCGAGAUCUGGUGGGGGAUUGAUGGAUUAUGGAUGGGCUUAGACCCAUAUAAGACAAUAAUCCAUGGUUAAUCUCUAAGGCACAUGCUUGUGUACGGCAAGUGGUGGGAAGUGUGAGAAGUUUAGUUCCAUGCUGCUACAGUAAGAAGAGUGAGACCUCUUUAUAAGGGCUGCUCUACCACUUGCUAUUGGAAGCCUGAGAAUAGGAGUUGUACACGCGCGCUCCUCCUUCUCUGCCGCCCGCCUCGCCUCAUCAGGACGCGCGCGCACGCCGCGGGUUGUGGGAAUGAGCCGAGCUGAAGCUUAUUUUUGCCGCUCAGGAAUGGUUAAUUAAUUAUUAAUUGUUUAACGAGUCUUACGGAAGCGCCACUGACAUUGGACCGUGGGCUGUUCACGGACUCGGUCGUGGGCCUGGCCCAGGGCCAUCUACCUGAUGGCCUAUUAAGAAGGCGCUGGCCAGUGUAGUGAAACCUAGUUCAGUUCACUCACUCCCUCUCGCGUAACCUAGCCGUCAUGUACUGUUCCUCACUCUGUGCUGCCUCCGGCGACCCCAUCCCGACGGUCGCGUGCACAGUUGGUCGGGAGAGCAGGCGCCUCCGAACCCUGUCGUUUGAGAUCCUGCCCGGGAAAACGGUAAUAAGGUUUUUGGGGAGCGUCUCUACGCGACUGCCCCCGAUCCGUCCCCGUCUUCGUCCGCCUCUGCUUCCACUACUUUCUCUACAUUGACUCCAUGGCUGACGACGAAGUCGUCAAGAAGAAGGCCUUGGCUGAUGCCGAGGCUGCUGCUGCCGCCGCCGCGUUGGCCUGGCCAAGUGGAGGGUGUGAUUCAUUCAUCCCCUAUCUGCUCAUUCAUGUGUUGGCCGUAUAUAUGUUGUCCAUAGAUGUUUUGGUUCUAUGUACAGUACGUGCUCACAUGUUUAAGUAUCGAUAUGAGAUGCAUACCGUAUUUGCUAUGUUUAUUGUUUACUUGUGAAUUAGAUUAGUCGGAAAAGUGCUAAUAUUUCAACAGAAACAUGUUGUACAUGACGAACUAUCAUAUACUCAAUUUUAUGAGAUGGAAAUAGAUAAAACUAGCUGAAUUGGCACUGGCUUGACCAUUGGACUAAGUGCAUAUAUCCUCAUAACUCAUAACAUAUUGUUGCUUGAAUCCCUUAGCCACCGGCCGAGCAUCAAAGUGAUCAAUGGAUCCAUCGACGUGCACAAAAAAAAACAUCGGUGUCAUAUACUUGCAAAAGAAGCUCGGAGUGCUUCUGUCUAGUCGACUUGUUUUCCGUCGCGGCUGAGCUCCCUGACCUAGAUAGUAUAUGCACCCAAAAUAGAACAUUGCGGGUUACUUGGCAAGUGGUCAUGAUUUCUACUCGCACAUGGUCCAGAAUCCCCACCCGUACACGGAGAGCACACCUACUCAGAAGUGAGAAGAUCACUCUCACACGGUCACACCACACGUGUACGUACAUGGGACGGCCGACGACGGGAUGAAGCAAAAUUUCGUAUUUUGACCAUUUUCUGAAACUUAGUCCAAAUCAAACUUUAAUUUGUAAAAAUUUCGAGAUCUGACCCUUUUGCUAUCCCCAGGGUCCAUGGCGGUAGGGUGUAACAGCCUACCGUCAGGGUCCCUGGUGGUAGGAAACACCUCUAUCAUCAAACAGGCUGGCGGUAGCAUGUACAACCCUACCGCCAAGGUGACCGGCGGUAGGCACGAGCACGCAUUGUGUUUCAUAUUUAAGAAAAAUUUACGGUAGGGCAUGCAAACCUAUCGCCAGAGGCCUUGGCGGUAGGCUGUUAUAAGACUCCAACAAUAAGAAAAGGGUUAAAUCCUGAAAUUUUUACAAACUAGGAUCAGAUCUGGACUAAGUUUCAAAAAAAGUCAAAACACGAAAUUUAGCCACGGGAUGAACCGGACGUGAUCGUCCAUCCAGCAGCGAAUGCACUCUGAUCGAUGAGUGUGACUGCUAGGCUAGUCACGGCAUAUGUUGAGAUCUGCAUUAAGAUUACGUACUCCCUUCGUCUCAUAAUAUAAGAUGUUUUUUAACAUUAUAUUAGUAUGAAAAAUGUCUUACAUUAUGAAACGAAGGGAGUACUAAUUAAUGCAGUACUAGACUGUGACUCCUAAGAUGAUGAAAAUUACUUAGGCGCUUCUCGUUUUUUCUUUGUGUGUGGAUGCCGAAGUAUCACUUCUAGUUUAGCGUGUACCACAUGAAGGGUGAGUGCUUGUUGCAGCUCCCCAGCGUUUUUCUAGAUGAUAUAUACUCGAUGUCAGUGAACAGCACUUUGAGGCUUUGACGUGCUCUUGCGUGGUUAUUAUCACGCUGGAUGGUACUGGACAUCUCAUGAUUUUUUGACCGAGAUGCUCACAUUUCUGAUAUGCUUCUUGAGAGUAACUUUUGGGGCCUAGAGGAAAAUAAAUUAAAAGUAAGUUAGGGUGUUUUCAAGGUUUAUUGAAAAUUCAAAAGUAUUGGAACAUGUGGUAAUUAAAGUAUCCUCUAAUGGAUAAAAUGAACACAACCCACUUGUCUGAUAAAUGGCAUCAUAAGGGCCAGCCAGAGUACCAUCACAAUGGAUAUAGAAUCGAUCUCACAACCCACAUUGAUUAAGAGUAGGCGUCCGGGCGCCUCACCACCAUGAAACACUCUGGUAAAUAAAACUAGAGUCAAGAGCUUCAGAUAGAUUAAGGUUCAACGGGGAUGACUAUGACUUUAGGGUGCGGGUUCUUAGGAGCACAUGCAUGAAGAUUUUCUAAGCUAUCAUAUACAAGGUCAUGCGGGCUCCUUGUGAACGCAUCACCAUUAUAACGCAGAUCCUCGAAUGCACAGUCCAUCAAGCAAUCUUGGAACACCUUGUUGUAUUUCAAAGCCCUAGUGCCCCUCCUUUUUCCCACAAGUAUAGAACCUUGUUAAAAUCACUGCUGCUCCCGUCGCACCAGCAACAAUCCCUCGCGUGGUUCUCGCGUUGGUGCCAACAAUCCAAAGGUCGUCCGGUGCCAAUGCCUUGCGACGCCACAAACAACCGCCGUGGUCGGCGGGGAAGCGACAAAGGACUCCGCCAUCACCGCCAAAGCUCCCCUGCACACCAACAAGGUCUCGGAGAAGAGGUCGCCGCAGGAUCCAUCAGCCACAGCUACUGCUCGGGCAAAGAAGAAGGUGGCGACAAUGGCGAUGGCCCCGCCACCGACGAUGCCUUCCAUGGUGACAGUGGCUCCCCCGACACCGCCUAGGCCCUAUUCACCUCGUUGCCCACCACCACACGAGAACAAUCCGUUGUCACUCGUCACCACAACUGCAGGUGUCCCCAUGGGCGGAGGAUGUGCACGCAUUAAUUUUCGUUCUAACCCCGAAAACACACGGCUGCAAUCUUAAUGCUAGUAUUGUGUAUAUAUUAGUCCAUUCUAAUUAACUGGGAUAAUACUAAUAUUGAACUUUGUACACCCAUUUUCUAAACUUAGCCCCGCCACUAGGUGUCCCCAACGUGUGCGGUGAAAUGCCUAGGAGGUAAAAAAAUAUUUUCCGUUUUUCCCAUUGAUUUUAAUGGGAUACAUUUUGUAGGCAAUUAUGAUGUGAUGUGACUGUAUUUUAUUCAAAUUUGAUGUAUGUAGUGCAAAAUCCUUUUUGCAAUAUACUUGUGUUGCAUCUCAAAAUUUUCUAUAAAAAGAUUUUGCAUCCCAAGAAAUUCCCUUUCAAGAAUAUGCAUUGCAAGAAAAGCACGUUCUUGACAUGGAAGAAGAGUACUUUGUUGAUGCAGUUCCAAGGGGAGAGGUGGGAAUUACACUACCAAAGAGGAAAAAAAUGUUCUGUGACGUGUGAAAGAAGGUUGGUUUUGAACCGCACAUCCGUGUCGAGCAACCAAUGCCAAGUUAUAGGAAGUGUAUCUCUAAGUACUUCAUGGCACGCAAUACUAGUGGCAUCUAUCUAUUGGAAAUUUUGCACCAACGUCGAUGGCAAACAAUAUCAUCGGAAUGCCAAUAGUGUUUGGUAUGCCUGGCACAAGUUGACUGUAUGAACCCGAGGGGCACAAAUACCAACGAUAAGAUGAUUGUUUGUUUGCAUUCGUCCAUUAUUUUUUCAUAUCAUGUAUGGAUUGGUGGCUAACUUCUUUUCUCACUUGUGGUAUGUAGCUCAACAUUGCUCAAGAAUUGUUUAAGGGCCGAGGAAAAUGCAAGGGAAAAUGUUCAAGGAAAGGCAAGAGAUUCAAUUUGCACCACUGUUGGACAGAGAGUGGAGAUGUUUAGAAGUGGAAGAACCGCAAAUACAAUGAAAUUCCAAAUAAGAAGUCAAAGAGAUCGGUGGAAAUGCAACACAAGGUGACAUCGAUAAUGAUGCAUCAAGUGCCAUGGACGAAAAAAAUCCCCACUCCAAACUCGGAUGCUAAGAAGAGGGCCGAUGGUAGGAUGAAAGGCAAGGACAAGAUGAAGAAGGGAGGAGACAAUGACUACAAAGAGUCAUUGGACAAUAUCAUGGCAAUAAGGAAGGUAUAUGGCUAAGGCAAAGAAGACCUUGAGAGCCAAAGAAAUGGAGGAGAGGAGAAAGACUAGAGAGAGGAGGUUGGCAAUAGGAAAGGUGGGUGGUGGCCAAGGAGAGGAGGGCCAAUGUUGAUGAGAUGAAGGUGGCCUACGAAGGAAGAAUGUGACGCCCCGAGACUGAUAUGCCAGGUGUCUUCCAGUUAUUCGCUGUUGUUGUUUUGUCAUUCGCUUGCGUGUUGCAUCUUGUCAUGUCAUCAUGUGCAUUUCAUCAUCACGUUUUCAAAACUUGCAUCCGUCCCGGUCUCCUCGUUCUUUCCGUUGUUCGUUCUGAGCCCGAAAUAGUAUUUUAUAAGUGGCCGGAAAAUAUUCUCGGAUUGGGUUGAAAGUUGGCAUGUGGUCUUAUUAUAGUGUAGAUAGACCGCCUGUCAAGUUCCAUCGCAUUCGGAGCUCGUUUGAUAGCCCAACCGUUAAACUAUAGAGACAAUAUAGUCAAUCAAAUCGUCGGACGUUUUCGAUAUCCGGGACUACCGCCGGGCCUCUUCUUCUCUUCUCUGCUCUCAGACCACCUAGUUUCCCCUCCACUUCGGACCGCACGAUCGCGAUCCGAGGGUCCAAAACGGAGCAAGCCCCUCUCCAAACCCUAAUCCUAGCCCACCUACUAUAAAUAGACCCCAUCCCCUUCCAAAUUGGGUCUAAACCUAGCCUAGCCCCUCCCCAAACCUCCAUCCACCACAUCAACCUCGAAGCCCGCGCUGCUAACCAGAUCCAACCACCCCCUCCUCAUUUUCCGGUGCCCUCCACCUCACACCCGCCACUUGGCGCGCCCAGAUUGGCUCAGCCACCGCCAGCAGCCGCCUGUGGCCACUCGCAGGCGGCCACGUGGCCUCUCCUCGCUUUUCCCCUGUCUCCCCGCGCCGCCGUGGACCGCUCAGGCUCGCGCAAGGCCCGCCCGAGCCCAUCCAGGGCCCGAGUGCCACUCCGGCCGAUCUGCAUCGCCGUGCUGCUUUUCCUCGCUCGAUCCCGAUGAGAACAGGAGCGCCGCCGCCGGCCUCUCGUCGCCGCUGCCUUCCCCUCAUGCCUGUGUGCCUUUUCCACGAGACCGGAGCCCUCGUACCCAGGCGUCUCCGUCGACCCUGCUGUCGGCCGGCGACCUCGUCCGCUGGAGCUCGCCUUCGCCGGCCAAUAGCAGCAGCAACCGGCGCGCCCCUUCCUCCUCCUCGUCGCCCUUCACCUGGAGCUGCCGGAGUCACAAGAGGCCGCCAAGUCCCGCCGUGGUCGCCAGGGCCUUCCCCGACCUCGAUCCGUCAAGUCCGCCGGCGGGAGCGGCCUUCACCGCCCAGAUCCAUCAAUGCCUCGCCUCUUCUUCGUUUCAGUCGAGGACGAGCGCUCCCUCGUCGUCGUGUUGACCGCAGAAGACCCGCACCUGGGCCGUGUCUCGCGUGAGGUCCACCAAUCGGCCCAGCUGCCAGGCCCAGCGGCGCCCGGCCUGCCUGGGCCUCUCCACCAACCGACUGGACCUCAGCCCACUGGGUGAGACCACCCCAGCGCCCCCCUUUUUUUCUUUCCCUAUUGGGCUUCCUGCUCAGAUGCGGUCCGUAUCAUGUUUUUUCCCUUGGUCGGAUUUAGCUAAUUUAUCCAGAGACUUUCAGUUUUGCAGAAACACCCUUGCACUUCAUGCAUAUCCUAACUAAUUAACCGUGCAUCGGAUUAAAACAAACUUUAUAUGUAAAAUGUCUAGAAUUUUGUCUAGUUUAAUAAUAUCCAACUUUCAUCCAUGUUUAAAAUGUUUAAACCACUGUUUUUUUAAAUUUUCUUAAAUAACUUGUUAAAAUGCUUUAAUUCAUAACUAAAUAACCGUAACUCAAAAUUUAAUAAACUUUAUAUGUAAAUGGGGUGGAAAAAUGCCUAGUUUAACAUGGUGACCUUACUUUGCAUGUCUAAUAACUCUAAAAUUAUGUUUAGGGCAGAACAAUACCAAACCUAAAAUAUGCAUAUGGGGAUUUACCGGAAUUGUUGUUCGUUGCUUCCGGCCUCAUUUAAACUUGACUAGACAGGUAGUUUUACUUUGCUUCACCCUCUUGCCAUGUUUAACAACAUUUAAUAUUGUUGGUUAUAUAAACAAGAUCGAACUAAAUAAGUCACGUGGUGUUUCGUCAAUAUGCAACGGAGUUGCAUAUUGAGCUCCACUUAAUUUGUAGGGUUGUUUGUGCACUUUGCCAUGCCAUGCCUCAUUAAACCGGACAUGCAUCAUACUUGUUUGCGCAUCGUGCCAUGUUUAUGUGAUGAUUGUUUACCAUGAUUGUUUGCUUCUUUCGGGUGUUGCUUCUGCGGGUUGGUUUCGAUAAUGUUGUGUUGUUCCGAUAAUGUACUUCAUGGCUCGCUCUUUUGCUAUGCCUAUGCUACGAUACCUACCACUUGCUUAUCAUGCCUUCCAUUUGCCAUGUCAAGCCUCUAAGCCACCUUGUCCUAGCAAACUGUUGUUUGGCUAUGUUACCGCUUUGCUCAGUCCCUCUUAUAGCAUUGUUAGUUGAAGGUGAAGAUUGGAGCUUGUUCCUUGUUUGGAACAUGGAUAUUUUGUUGGGAUAUCACAAUAUCUCUUAUUUAAUUAAUGCAUCUAUAUACUUGGUAAAGGGUGGAAGGCUCAGCCUUAUGCCUGGUGUUUUGUUCCACCCUUGCUGCCCUAGUUUCCGUCAUAUCGGUGUUAUGUUCCCGAAUUUUGUGUUCCUUACAUGGUUGGGUUAUAAUGGGAACCCCUUGACAGUUCGCGUUGAAUAAAACUCCUCCAGCAAGGCCCAACAUUGGUUUUACCAUUCACCACCUAGCCUUUUCUUUCCCUUGGGUUCUGCAGACUCAAGGGUCAUCUUCAUUUUAACCCCCCCGGGCCAGUGCUUCUCUAAGUGUUGGUCCGAACCAAGUAGACUGCGGGGCCACCUCGGGGCAACUUGAGGGUUGGUUUUACUCGUAGGAUGUCUCAUCUGAGUGUGCCCUGAGAACGAGAUAUGUGCAGCUCCUAUCGGGAUUUGUCGGCACAUUCGGGCGGCUUUGCUGGACUUGUUUUACCAUUGUCGAGGAUGUCUUUAACUAGGAUUCCGAGCCUGAUCGGGUCUUCUUGGGAGAAGGAAUAUCCUUCGUUGACCGUGAGAGCUUGUGAUGGGCUAAGUUGGGACACCCCUGCAGGGAUUUGAACUUUCGAAAUCCGUGCCGCAGUUAUGGGCAGAUGGGAAUUUGUUAAUGUUCGGUUGUAGAAAACCUGAAGUUUAUCUUAAUUAAGAUACAUCAACCGCGUGUGUAGCCAUGAUGGUCUCUUCUCGGCGGGGUCCGGGAAGUGAACACGGUGUUGGAGUUAUGCUUGGCGUAGGUUGUUCUAGGAUCACUUCUUGAUCAUAGUUUACCCCUCAUGUCGUUGCCUUCUCUUCUCGCUCUCUUUUGCGCAUAUGUUAGCCACCAAAUACGCUAGUCGCUUGCUGCAGCUCCACCUCAUACCUUUUACCCUACCUAUAAGCUUACAUAGUCUUGAUCGCGAGGGUGUGAGAUUGCUGAGUCCCCGUGACUCAUAGAUACUUCCAAAACCAGUUUGCAGGUGCCGAUGAUACCGUGCAGGUGACGCAACCAAGCUCAAAGAGGAGCUUGAUGAAGAUCGUGUUCAUUGUGUUGUUCUGUUUCCCGUUGAUCAGUAGUGGAGCCCAGUUGGGACGAUCGGGGAUCUGUGUAGCAUUUGGGGUAGUCUUAUUUUAUUUUGGUUCUGUAGUCGGACCUUGAUUGUAUCUGGCUGAUGUAAUGCUUUAUCCAUGUAAUUGUGUGAAGUGGCGAUUGUAAGCCAACUACGUAUCUCUUUCCUUUAUGUAUUACAUGGGUUGUGUGAAGAUUACCUCACUUGCGACAUUGCUUACAAUGCGGUUAUGCCUCUAAGUCGUGCUUCGACACGUGGGAGAUAUAGCCACAUCGUGGGCGUUACAAGUUGGUAAUCAGAGCCUUCCCUGACCUUAGGAGCCCCCUGCUUGAUCGAAUCGCUGGCGUUGUUGAGUCUAGAAAAAUGUUUUGAGUCAUUUAGGAUUAUAUAUAUCGGAGAGUAGGAUUCUUUUUACUCCUCAGUCCCUUCAUCGCUCUGGUGAGGCAUCCUGACGUAGAGUUUUGACUCUUCUCUCUCAAAUUUCACUAAAAAAAAUUUAGGAUCACGCGGGUAUCUUGGAAUCAGUCCGAUCGAUUUAUGACGAGAACAUUGUUCUUGGUGCCUCCUGACAUUUAGGAGUUGUGGCAGUGUCCUGGGGAGUUGAGCUCCGAGGUGUUGUCAUCACAAUUUAUCGUUGAGAUUCUGGAAUACCCAAGUUUCGCCGACAUCAAAAAUCUAUUUUAUGCAGUUGUUGGUGAGAUAACCUCGACGCCACCCAGUACUGGGGCGGGAGUUCGGGAGUAUUGCCAUAACUUGUAUAACUGAUGCUUUUCGAAGGUUGAGGUAAACGAUUUCCGAAGGUUUCUUGGUUAUGUGUUGAAGGAUGGAUACAACUGGAUGUAGGAUUUGCUAGUUUUGGGUGAGAUAUUAUGCUUCCCUGUAUCCCCAACACCUGAUUGUUGGGGAACGUAGUAAUUUCAAAAAUUUCCUACGCACACGCAAGAUCAUGGUGAUGCAUAGCAACGAGAGGGGAGAGUGUUGUCUACGUACCCUCAUAGACCGUUCGCGGAAGCGUUAUAUCAACGUGGUUGAUGUAGUCAUACGUCUUCACGAUCCGACCGAUCCAAGUACUGAAAGCACGGCACCUCCGAGUUCUGCACACGUUCGGAUCGGUGACGUCCUCGCCUUCUCGAUCCAGCAAGAGGGGCGAAGUAGUAUAUGAGUUCCGACAGCACGACUGCGUGGUGACGGUGUUGGUGAAGAACAAUCUUCGCAGGGCUUCUCCUAAGCACUACGAAAACUAUGAUGUAGGAUAAACUAGAGGGGACGGGGUUGCCGACACACGGCUUGGUGUUUCUUGAUGUGUCUUUGGUGCUAUCCCUACCCCUCUAUUUAUAUGUUGAGCCCUGGGGUCGAAACUUGGAGUAAAAGCCUCCUCAAAGUCGGUUUCACUUGAAAGGCAAGAGUCCUUCUCGGACUCCAGGGCUAGACGCCAGGGUUCCUGGCGUCUACCCCCUAGACGCCAGGGUUCCUGGCGUCUAGCCUCUGGUCUCCACAAAACUUCCUUUUGCACUUCCCAAAAGCCUCGUGGGCUUUCCCCUUUGGCCCAGAUAAAGUGUUCUCGUGCCCAAACAUUUCGGGAAACAUCUGGAACCCCUUCCGGUGAAUUCCGGAACCCUUCCAGAGAUCAAACACUACUAUCCACAUAUCAAUCUUUACUUCUGGACCAUUCCGGAGUUCCUCGUCAUAUCUGUGAUCUCAUCCAAAACUCCGAACAACAUUCGGUCACCAACAUACAUAACUCAUAGUACUAUAUCGUCAACGAACGUUAAGCGUGCGGACCCUACAGGUUCGAGAACUAUGUAGACAUGACCGAGACACCUCUCUGCUCAAUAACCAAUAGCGGGACCUGGAUGCCCAUAUUGGCUCCUACAUAUUCUACGAAGAUCUUUAUCGGUCAGACCGCAUAACAACAUACGUUGUUUCCUUUGUCAUCGGUAUGUUACUUGCCCGAGAUUCGAUCGUCAGUAUCUCAAUACCUAGUUCAAUCUCGUUACCGGCAAGUCUCUUUACUCGUUCCGUAAUACAUCAUCCCGCAACUAACUCAUUAGUUGCAAUGCUUGCAAGGCUUAUAGUGAUGUGCAUUACCGAGUGGGCCCAGAGAUACCUCUCCGACAAUCGGAGUGAUAAAUCCUAAUCUCGAAAUACGCCAACCCAACAAGUACCUUUGGAGACACCUGUAGAGCACCUUUAUAAUCACCCAGUUACGUUGUGAUGUUUGGUGGCACACAAAGUGUUCCUCCGAUAAACGGGAGUUGCAUAAUCUCAUAGUCAUAGGAACAUGUAUAAGUCAUGAAGAAAGCAAUAGCAACAAACUAAACGAUCAAGUGCUAUGCUAAUGGAAUGGGUCAAGUCAAUCACAUCAUUCUCCUCAUGAUGUGAUCCCGUUAAUCAAAUGACAACUCAUGUCUAUGGUUAGGAAAUAUAACCAUCUUUGAUCAACGAGCUAGUCAAAUAGAGGCAUACUAGUGACACUCUGUUUGUCUAUGUAUUCACACAUGUAUUAUGUUUCCGGUUAAUACAAUUCUAGCAUGAAUAAUAAAAAUUUAUCAUGAUAUAAGGAAAUAAAUAAUAACUUUAUUAUUGCCUCUAGGGCAUAUUUCCUUCAGUCUCCCAAUUGCACUAGAGUCAAUAAUCUAGUUCACAUCGCCAUGUGAUUUAACAUCAAUAGUUCACAUCACCAUGUGAUUAACACCCAUAGUUCACAUCGACAUGUGACUAACACCCAAAGGGUUUACUAGAGUCAAUCAUCUAGUUCACAUCGCUUAUGUGAUUAACACCCAAAGAGUACUGAGGUGUGAUCAUGUUUUGCUUGUGAGAGAAGUUUAGUCAACGGGUCUGCCACAUUCAGAUCCGUAAGUAUUUUGCAAAUUUCUAUGUCAACAAUGCUCUGCAUGGAGCUACUCUAGCUAAUUGCUCCCACUUUCAAUAUGUAUCCAGAUUGAGACUUAGAGUCAUCUGGAUCAGUGUCAAAACUUGCAUCGACGUAACCCUUUACGACGAACCUUUUGUCACCUCCAUAAUCGAGAAACAUAUCCUUAUUCCACUAAGGAUAAUUUGACCAAUGUCCAGUGAUCUACUCCUAGAUCACUAUUGUACUCCCUUGCCAAACUCAGGGCAGGGUAUACAAUAGGUCUGGUACACAGCAUGGCAUACUUUAUAGAACCUAUGGCUGAUGCAUAGGGAAUGACUUUCAUUCUCUCUCUAUCUUCUGCCGUGGUCGGGUUUUGAGUCUUACUCAACUUCACCCCUUUGUAACACAGGCAAGAACUCCUUCUUUGACUAUUCCAUUUUGAACUACUUCCAAAUCUUGUCAAGGUAUGUACUCAUUGAAAAACAUAUCAAGCGUCUUGAUUUAUCUCUAUAAAUCUUGAUGCUCAAUAUGUAAGCAGCUUCACCGAGGUCUUUCUUUGAAACACUCCUUUAUGCUUUGCAGAAUAAUUCUACAUCAUUUCCGAUCAACAAUAUGUCAUUCACAUAUACUUAUCAGAAAUGUUGUAGUGCUCCCAUUCACUUUCUUGUAAAUACAGGCUUCACCGCAAGUCUGUAUAAAACUAUAUGCUUUGAUCAACUCAUCAAAGCAUAUAUUCCAACUCCAAGAUGCUUGCACUAGUCCAUAGAUGGAUCGCUGGAGCUUGCACAUUUUGUUAACACCUUUAGGAUCGACAAAACCUUCUGGCUGCAUCAUAUAUAACUCUUCUUUAAUAACUCCUUUAAGGAAUGCAGUUUUGUUUAUCCAUUUGCCAGAUUUCAUAAAAUGCGGCAAUUGCUAACAUGAUUCGGACAGACUUAAGCAUACAUACGAGUGAGAAACUCUCAUCGUAGUCAACACCUUGAACUUGUCGAAAACCUUUUUGCGACAAUUCUAGCUUUGUAGAUAGUAACACUACUAUCAGCAUCCGUCUUCCUCUUGAAGAUCCAUUUAAUCUCAAUGGCUCGCCGAUCAAUGGGCAAGUCAAUCAAAGUCCAUACUUUGUUCUCAUACAUGGAUCUCAUCUCAGAUUUCAUGGCCUCAAGCCAUUUCGCGGAAUCUGGGCUCAUCAUCGCUUCCUCAUAGUUCGUAGGUUCGUCAUGGUCAAGUAACAUGACCUCCAGAACAGGAUUACCGUACCACUCUGGUGCGGAUCUCACUCUGUUUUACCUACGAGGUUUCGGUAGUAACUUGAUCUGAAGUUACAUGAUCUUCAUCAUUAGCUUCCUCACUAAUUGGUGUAGUAGUCAUAGGAACAGAUUUCUGUGAUGAACUACUUUCCAAUAAGGGAGCAGGUACAGUUACCUCAUCAAGUUCUACUUUCCUCCCACUCACUUCUUUCGAGAGAAACUCCUUCUCUAGAAAGGAUCCAUUCUCAGCAACGAAUAUCUUGCCUUCGGAUCUGUGAUAGAAGGUGUACCCAACAUUUUUAUUUUGGGUAUCCUAUGAAGACGCACUUCUCUGAUUAGGGUUUGAGCUUAUCAGGUUGAAACUUUUUCACAUAAGCAUUGCAACCUCAAACUUUAAGAAACGACAGCUUAGGUUUCUUGCCAAACCAUAGUUCAUACGGUGUCGUCUCAACGGAUUUAGAUGGUGCCCUUUUUAAUGUGAAUGCAGCUGUCUCUAAUGCAUAACCCCAAAACGAUAGUGGUAAAUCGGUAAGAGACAUCAUAGAUUUGCACUAAAUCAAAUAAAGUACGGUUAUGAUGUUCGGACACACCAUUACGUUGUGGUGUUCCAGGUGGCAUGAGUAGUGAAACUAUUUCACAUUGUUUUAACUGAAGGCCAAACUCGUAACUCAAAUAUUUUACUUGUAUGAUCAUAUUGUAAAAACUUUUAUUUUUGUUACGAUGAUUCUCCACUUCACUCUGAAAUUCUUUGAACUUUUCAAAUAUUUCAGACUUGUGUUUCAUCAAGUAGAUAUACUCAUAUCAGCUCAAAUCAUCUGUGAAGGUCAGAAAAUAACGAUACUUCCCGUGAGCCUUAACACUCAUCGGACCGCAUACAUCAGUAUGUAUUAUUUCCAAUAAGUUAGUUGCUCGCUCCAUUGUUACGGAGAACGGAGUCUUAGUCAUCUUGCCCAUGAGGCAUGGUUAGCAAGCAUCAAGUGAUUCAUAAUCAAGUGAUUCAAAAAGUCCAUCAGCAUGGAGUUUCUUCAUGCGCUUUACACCAAUAUGACCUAAAUGACAGUGCCACAAAUAUGUUGCACUAUCAUUAUUAACUUUGCAUCUUUUGGUUUUAAUAUUAUGAAUAUGUGUAUCACUACGAUCGAGAUCCAACGAACCAUUUUCAUUGGGUGUGUAACCAUAUAAGGUUUUAUUCAUGUAAAUAGAACAACAAUUUAUUCUCUUACUUAAAUGAAUAACCAUAUUGAAAUAAACAUGAUCAAAUCAUAUUCAUGCUCAACGCAAACACCAAAUAACACUUAUUUAGGUUCAACACUAAUCCCGAAAGUAUAGGGAGUGUGCGAUGAUGAUCAUAUCAAUCUUGGAACCACUUCCAACACACAUCGUCACUUCACCCUUAACUAGUCUUUGUUCAUUCUGCAACUCCCGUUUCGAGUUACUACUCUUAGCAACUGAACCAGUAUCAAAUACCGAGGGGUUGCUAUAAACACUAGUAAAGUACAUAUCAAUAACAUGUAUAUCAAAUAUAGCUUUGUUCACUUUGCCAUCCUUCUUAUCCACCAAAUACUUGGGGUAGUUCCGCUUCUAGUGACAAGUCCCUUUGCAGUAGAAGCACUUAGUCUCAGGCUUAGGUUCAGAUUUGGGUUUCUUCACUUGAGCAACAACUUGUUUGCCGUUCUUCUUGAAGUUCCCCUUCUUCCCUUUGCCCUUUCUCUUGAAACUAGUGGUCUUGUCAAUCAUCAACACUUGAUGUUUUUCUUGAUUUCUACCUUCACUGAUUUUUGCAUCGCGAAGAGCUUGGGAAUUGUUUUCGUCAUCCCUUGCAUAUUAUAGUUCAUCACUAAGUUCUACUAACUUGGUGAUGGUGACUAGAGAAUUCUGUCAAUCACUAUUUUUAUCUGGAAGAUUAACUCCCACUUGAUUCAAGCGAUUGUAGUACCCAGACAAUCUGAGCACAUGCUCACUGCUUGAGCUAUUCUCCUCCAUCUUUUAGCUAUAGAACUUAUUGGAGACUUCAUAUCUCUCAACUCGGGUAUUUGCUUGAAAUAUUAACUUCAACUCCUGGAACAUCUCAUAUGGUCCAUGACGUUCAAAACGUCUUUGAAGUCCCGAUUCUAAGCCGUUUAAGCAUGGUGCACUAAACUAUCAAGUAGUCAUCAUAUUGAGCUAGCCAAACGUUCAUAACAUCUGCUCUUGCAAUAGGUUUGUCACCUAGCGGUGCAUCAAGGACAUAAUUCUUCUGUGCAGCAAUGAGGAUAAACCUCAGAUCAUGGAUCCAAUCCGCAUCAUUGCUACUAAUAUCUUUCAACUUAGUUUUCUCUAGGAACAUAUCAAAAAUAAAACAGGGGAGCUAAACACAAGCUAUUGAUCUACAACAUAGAUAUGCUAAUACUACCAGGACUAAGUUCAUGAUAAAUUUAUGUUCAAUUAAUCAUAUUACUUAAGAACUCCCACUUAGAAAGACAUCCCUCUAAUCUUCUAAGUGAUCACGUGAUCCAAAUCAACUAAACCAUAACCGAUCAUCACGUGAAAUGGAGUAGCUUUCAAUGGUGAACAUCAAUAUGUUGAUCAUAUCUACUAUAUGAUUCACGCUCGACCUUUCGGUCUCAGUGUUCCGAGGCCAUAUCUGCAUAUGCUAGGCUCGUCAAGUUUAACCUGAGUAUUUAGUGUGUGCAAAACUGGCUUGCACCCGUUGUAGAUGGACGUAGAGCUUAUCACACCCGAUCAUCACCUGGUGUCUGGGCACGACGAACUUUUGCAACGGUGCAUACUCAGGGAGAACACUUUUAUCUUGAAAUUUAGUGAGAGAUCAUCUUAUAAUGCUACCGUCAAACAAAGCAAGAUAAGAUGCAUAAAAGAUAAACAUCACAUGCACUCAAUAUAAGUGAUAUGAUAUGGCCAUCAUCAUCUUGUGCUUGUGAUCUCCAUCUCCGAAGCACCGUCAUGAUCACCAUCGUCACUAGCGCGACACCUUGAUCACCAUCGUAGCAUCGUUGUCGUCGCGCCAAUCUUAUGCUUCCACGACUAUCACUACCGCUUAGUGGUAAACUAAAGCAUUACAACGCAAUUGCAUUGCAUACAAUAAAGCGACAACCAUAUGGCUCCUGCAGCAAUGAGGAUAAACCUCAGAUUACGGAUCCAAUCCGCAUCAUUGCUAUUAACAUCUUUCAACACAAUUUUCUCCAGGAACAUAUCAAAAUAAACACAGGGAUGCAACAACGCGAGCUAUUGAUCUACAAUAUAAUUUGCAAAAUACUACCACGACUAAGUUCAUGAUAAAUUUAAGUUCAAUAAAUCAUAUUAUUUAAGAACUCCCACUUAGAUAGACAUCCCUCUAAUCCUCUAAGUGAUCACGUGAUCCAAAUCAACUAAACCAUAACCGAUCAUCACGUGAAAUGGAGUAGCUUUUAUGGGGGAACAUUACUAUGUUGAUCAUAUCUACUAUAUGAUUCACGCUCGACCUUUCGGUCUCAGUGUUCCGAGGCCAUAUCUGCAUAUGCUAGGCUCGUCAAGUUUAACCUGCGUAUUUUGCGUGUGCAAAACUGGCUUGCACCCGUUGUAGAUGGACGUAGAGCUUAUCACACCCGAUCAUCACGUGGUGUCUGGGCACGACGAACUUUGGCAAUGAUGCAUACUCAGGGAGAACACUUUUAUCUUGAUAAUUUAGUGAGAGAUCAUCUUAUAAUGCUACCGUCAAUCAAAGCAAGAUAAGAUGCAUAAAAGAUAAACAUCACAUGCAAUCAAUAUAAGUGAUAUGAUAUGGCCAUCAUCAUCUUGUGCUUGUGAUCUCCAUCUCCGAAGCACCGUCAUGAUCACCAUCGUCACCGGCGCGACACCUUGAUCUCCAUCGUAGCAUCGUUGUCGUCUCGCCAAUCUUAUGCUUCCACGACUAUCGCUACCGCUUAGUGAUAAAGUAAGGCAUUACAGCGCGAUUGCAUUGCAUACAAUAAAGCGACAACCAUAUGGCUCCUGCCAGUUGCCGAUAACUCGGUUACAAAACAUGAUCAUCUCAUACAAUAAAAUUUAGCAUCAUGUCUUGACCAUAUCAUAUCACAACAUGCCCUGCAAAAACAAGUUAGACGUCCUCUACUUUGUUGUUGCAAGUUUUACGUGGCUGCUAUGGGCUGAGCAAAAACCGUUCUUACCUACGCAUCAAAACCACAACGAUAGUUUGUCAAGUUGGUGCUGUUUUAACCUUGACAAGGACCAGGCAUAGCCACACUCGGUUCAACUAAAGUUGGAGAACUGACACCCGCCAGCCACCUGUGUGUAAAACACGUCGAUAGAACCAGUCUCGCGUAAGCGUACGCGUAAUGUCAGUCUGGGCCGCUUCAUCCAACAAUACCGCCGAACCAAAGUAUGACAUGCUGGUAAGCAGUAUGACUUAUAUCGCCCACAACUCACAUGUGUUCUACUCGUGCAUAUGACAUCUACGCAUAAAACCUAGGCUCGGAUGCCACUGUUGGGGAACGUAGUAAUUUCAAAAAUUUCCUACGCACACGCAAGAUCAUGGUGAUGCAUAGCAACGAGAGGGGAGAGUGUUGUCUACGUACCCUCGUAGACCGUUCGCGGAAGCAUUAUAUCAACGCGGUUGAUGUAGUCGUACAUCUUCACGAUCCGACCGAUCCAAGUACCGAAAGCACGACACCUCCGAGUUCUGCACACGUUCGGCUUGGUGACGUCCUCGCCUUCUCGAUCUAGCAAGAGGGGCGAAGUAGUAGAUGAGUUCCGCCAGCACGACGGCGUGGUGACGAUGUUGGUGAAGAACAAUCUCCGCAAGGCUUCGCCUAAGCACUACGAAAACUAUGACGUAGGAUAAACUAGAGGGGACGGGGUUGCUGUUACACGACUUGGUGUUUCUUGAUGUGUCUUUGGUGCUAGCCCUACCCUACUAUUUAUAUGUUGAGCCCUGGGGUCGAAACUUGGAGUAAAAGCCUCCUCAAAGUCGGUUUCACCCGAAAGGCAAGAGUCCUUCUCGGACUCCAGGGCUAGACGCCAGGGUUCCGGUGUCUACCCCCUAGACGCCAGGGUUCCUGGCGUCUAGCCUCUGGUCUCCGCAAAACUUCCUUUUGCACUUUCCAAAAGCCUCGUGGGCUUUCCCCUUUGGCCGAGAUAAAGUGUUCUCGUGCCCAAACAUUUCGGGAAACAUCCGGAACCCCUUCUAGUGAAUUCCGGAACCCUUCCGGAGAUCAAACACUACUAUCCACAUAUCAAUCUUUACUUCCAGAACAUUCCGGAGUUCCUCGUCAUAUCUGUGAUCUCAUCCAAAACUCUGAACAACAUUCGGUCACCAACAUACAUAACUCAUAGUACUAUAUCGCCAACGAACGUUAAGCGUGCGGACCCUACGGGUUCGAGAACUAUGUAGACAUGACCGAGACACCUCUCUGGUCAAUAACCAAUAGCGGGACCUGGAUGCCCAUAUUGGCUCCUACAUAUUCUACGAAGAUCUUUAUCGGUCAGACCACAUAACAACAUACGUUGUUCCCUUUGUCAUCGGUAUGUUACUUGCCCGAGAUUCGAUCGUCGGUAUCUCAAUACCUAGUUCAAUCUCGUUACCGGCAAGUCUCUUUACUCGUUUCGUAAUACAUCAUCCCGCAACUAACUCAUUAGUUGCAAUGCUUGCAAGGCUUAUAGUGAUGUGCAUUACCGAGUGGGCCCAGAGAUACCUCUCCGACAAUCGGAGUGACAAAUCCCAAUCUCGAAAUACGCCAACCCAACAAGUACCUUUGGAGACACCUGUAGAGCACCCUUAUAAUCACCCAGUUACGUUGUGAUGUUUGGUGGCACACAAAGUGUUCCUCCGAUAAACGGGAGUUGCAUAAUCUCAUAGUCAUAGGAACAUGUAUAAGUCAUGAAGAAAGCAAUAGCAACAAACUAAACGAUCAAGUGCUAUGCUAACGGAAUGGGUCAAGUCAAUCACAUCAUUCUCCUAAUGAUGUGAUCCCGUUAAUAAAAUGACAACUCAUGUCUAUGGUUAGGAAACACAACCAUCUUUAAUCAAGGAGCUAGUUAAAUAGAGGCAUACUAGUGACACUCUGUUUGUCUAUGUAUUCACACAUGUAUUAUGUUUCCGGUUAAUACAAUUCUAGCAUGAAUAAUAAACAUUUAUCAUGAUAUAAGGAAAUAAAUAAUAACUUUAUUAUUGCCUCUAGGGCAUAUUUCCUUCACUGAUUGCAUAACCGGAAAAUUUCGGGAGUUUAUAAGUGGGAAUUCAAGUAGCUCUUAGGAUAUCUUUCCGACAGAUGUAUGAUAUGAAAUUGGGGUUCGACGUCUAGUGGUCCGCCUAUCCAUGGUUAGUUUUACAGUGGUCUCAUUGUGUCUUAAAGAGUCCUUGGCUAUGCCGACUCGGGGACGCUUCGUAUGUCAUGUGCACUGCCUUGUACAUGAUGGUGCUGUACGAUCGAGCCCGUGUAGGCCCCACCAUGAAAACUUCAGAUGAAAUCUCUAUCAUAUGUUUGUUCUGGCUUAUUUUGCAAGCCAAUCCUUUGUUUUGUUUUGAGUUGUGGUAUUCGAGUUGCUUCAAUGUCAAGUGUUGAUUCCAUACCUUCUCUAAUGGUGUUCUCAUACUCCGAUGCAAAUACCAAUCCUUCAUGAUAAUCGAGAUUGUCAUGUCAAUCCUUUUUAACCGGUGAGUUUCUCUUCAAGUGGAUCCGAACAUUUCAACAUCCGCAAGAUCAAGUAUCAGUUCUUCUCAACGGUGUUUGCGUCAUUCGUUCCAAGUUGCCUUUGUUUUCCCACCCACCCACCCUUUUUUUUCUUCAAGGACUCGGAUUUCUUAGUUCGUUAUCCAUUUUAUGGAUAUGAAGUCUCCCCAUUCCUUUCAGUCAAUGUCCUUAUCCGGUGAUUCUCAUGAAGACCCUAACGGAGUUUCAAGUUCGUCACUCUUCACUCAUUUUCUUCUCCGGUGGAUUCUAGUCAAGCCUUGUCAAUCAUAUCUUUUCCUUGUUUCAAUACUUUCUCUUGCUGGUGCUCCUCUUAAUCAUCCAUUUCUCGCUAUUCAAUUGUGCCGGAGUGAUGAAGAUAUCUCAAAAGAUUUGUGUCUCCAUUAUCAAUCCGUCCAAGAUAUCUCGAGGUUGUUAUCUCAUUCAAGCCGUUUAAUUCAACCGGUGCUAUCUCCUUUGCAAGUAAUCGUUCAACGGUGUAUCUUUUUAGUGGACCCUAACCCACAGGUCUUUUCCAGGAUCUUACCUGACUCUUCUAAUUUUACCGGAGCUAUUCUCAAAUCUUUUAAAGCUUGACGUGAAUAUGAAUUAUCAUCAGUCAAAUGUCUUCUCCAAGAUCUGUCAAAAUCUUUUCAUCGUUGGCUCAACCUCUUCAUUUUGAUUCUUCCGGAGUGUCUAAACAAUUCAUGGUUGUGUUUCUUGUCGUCAUUGUCGGCGUUCUGGGAACGGGGGUCCCCAGACUUGCCUGCCUGCGGCCUGCGGCGUGGCUCAAAGGGGGGCCCAGCACGGCCCAUCUUCAUCAACACAAGACUCAAGACCCUCGCGAGGGGCCAAGCCUCGUGGGGCGGACGAUGUGGACCUUCCUUAGGCGCGACCUCGUCAGGCUGGCUCGCGAGGAGGCGGAGAAAUCAAGGCGGGGUACCUCGCGAGGUGCCCGUGACGCAAGCCAUGACGAUCAAAGGCGCCAGGCGGGUGCCAGCCCGCGCAGCGUCCUCCUUUCCUAUUUGGUGCAAAGGGAGCAAGCGCAGCCGCGGAGUACUGAGGCAUCAGGCAAAGGUUGCCAUUUCGGUGCAAUGAGACCAAGACCAGGAGGACUAUGAGAUGGAGGUCACCAUGGAGCCCAAGACGCGUCAUCACCAGAGCUUUGCGCAGGCGAAGACUACUUUUGUCAGGAUAGCUGAUACUUGCUGUCCCCCUUCAAAUUAGCCCGCCAUUGUUGGCUCCCUUCCCGCUCGAUAUUUGGGAAGAGGACCAGGGCCUCUAUAAAUAGGACCAGCCACCCACAUAACAAGGGGGGCGGUGAGUGUGAGUAAGUAAGAGAGAGAGAGAGAAGGGUGACUGAACUCCUCCUAGCAGUUCGUCGCCCUAGCCAAGAGCAUACCCUCGCGAGGCUGUUCUUCCUUGUAUUGUUCAUCAUCAUCAGCCCCAAGAGGCAAUCCACCCCCCAAACACUGGAGUAGGGUAUUACACCACAACGGUGGCCCGAACCAGUAUAAACCUUGUGUCUCUUGUGCAGUUCUUUCAGUAGUCUAGAUCUUUGCGAGACGGUGAGGUAGAAGGCGUAAUCUUCGCACGCACCCCAGAGUUUGAACAUUAAGGGUCUGCCGAAACCUGAAAUCCGACAUCUGGCGCACCAGGUAGGGGUGCGCCGGAACUCGCCUUCCACCGCUCCGUUCUCCUCCGACCAUCACGCUCAUGUCUGACGCUCGUCGAGCCCGCGCGGAGCGCCGGGCCGCCCCCGAGCUCGUCCACGCCGCAGGGGGCUCUCCUGCGCCAUCCCAUCGCGCUACACCAACACCCCCAGUCGUCGCGGCCCUCCUGGGCGGCUCGCAGGCGCCGCCCACAAGUCGCCACGUCAAGCCGUUCGUCCGCCGAGUCAGCGCCGCUUCCACGCGGCAGGGGGCUCCCCUGGAUCGGGCGGCGCCCAAGACCGGCCUGACCUUCAGCUCUGAGGACCACCCCUCCAACUCGGCCUGCUCGGGCGUGCUCCCCAUGUUGUGCACCCCCACCAUCUGCCAGGUGGCCGUCACCAGAACCCUCGUUGAUGGCGGCGCGGGCCUCAGCGUGCUCUCGGUCGAGGCCUUCAACCUCCUCCGCAUACCCCUGGAACGGCUGCAACCCAGCCGGCCCUUCUCAGGCGUUGGGGGCAAGUCGUCCAGUUCCUUGGGGCAGAUCUGGCUCCCAGUGACCUUCGGCACCUACGACAACUUCCGCACGGAGCUGGUUGACUUCGACAUCGCCCCAAUCGGCCUCCCCUACAACGCCAUCCUCGGCUAUCCAGCGCUGGCCCGAUUCAUGGCCGCGACGCACCCGGCGUACAACCUCAUGAAGAUGCCCGGGAGCAGCGGUGUCCUUACUGUGCACGGAGACACCGGGGACGCGCUGUGGGCGCUCAAGCUCACCUUCAAGACGGCGGCGUCGGCACAGCCCGCCGACUUGCAGACCCCCGGGCCCAAGGGGGCUGCACCCGCCAAGAAGAAGCAGUUGUUCACCCAAGACAAGGCAGAAACCAAGCAGAUACCCGUCGAUGAGGACGGGUCCACCGACGCCACUUUCACCAUAGGCGCCCACCUCAAACCCGAGCAGGAGGAGGCCCUGGUCGGGUUCCUGCGCGCAAACAAGAAGGUAUUCGCUUGGGAGCCGGACCAGUUGGCAGGGAUCCCCAGGAGUGUAAUCGAGCAUCACCUCAACGUGUGCGCCAACGUGCGCCCUGUGAAGCAGAAGGCCAGGCGGCAGUCCACAAAAAAGCAGGCCUUCAUCAUCCAAGAGACCCGCAAAUUAGAAGCCGCUGGGGUCAUCCGCGAGGUCCGAUACCCAUAUUGGUUGGCCAACCCUGUCGUUGUGCCAAAGAAGGGAGGGAAGGAGCGUAUGUGUGUCGACUUCACCAACCUCAACGAAGCAUGCCCGCAAGAUCCGUUCCCACUCCCCUGCAUCGACCAGAUCAUCGAUUCCACUGCGGAAUGCGACCUGUUAUGCUUCCUGGAUGCCUUCUCUGGGUAUCACCAGGUCAAGAUGGCGGUAGAAGACAUCGAGAAGACAGCCUUCCUAACCCCGUGUGGGGUAUACUGCUACACGUGCAUGCCAUUCGGGCUGCGUAAAGCAGGGGCGACCUUUCAGCGGCUGAUGCACAUCACCUUGGGCCUGCAGCUCAGGAAGAAUGUUGAAGCUUAUGUUGAUGAUAUCAUGGUAAAGUCUCGGGAGGCCAAGACCUUGAUACAGGACUUGGAGGAAACCUUCGCGAGCCUCAACGCAGUGAACCUACGGCUCAACCCAGAGAAGUGUGUGUUUGAAGUCCCCUCGGGCAAGCUCGUGGGUUUCCUCGUGUCCCACCGAGGCAUCGAGGCUAACCCAGAGAAGGUCAAGGCGGUGGAAGAUAUGAGCCCGCCAAAUACCCUCAGAGAAAUGCAGAAGCUCACGGGGCGCGUGACCGCGCUAGGGCGCUUCAUCUCCAAGUUGGGAGAGCGAGCCCUGCCCUUCUUCCAGCUAAUGAAGAAGAAGGGGCCCUUCGAGUGGACUGAAGAGGCCGACAAGGCAUUCCAGGAUCUCAAGAGAUACCUGACCAGCCCACCGGUCAUGGUGGCACCGCGCCCUCAGGAGCCCCUGGUGCUUUACCUCGCAGCCACUCCCUACUCCGCCAGCGCAGCCUUGGUGGCAGUCAGAGAGGAGCGCCGAAUCAAAACCAUGGCAGCAGCCCGGGACAAGGCAGAACAGGGACAAGGAAGGCCUGCAGAAACCGCCACCGCGGCUGAGGAGGAUCAGCCGCCGCAGAGGGGCGCACCAGAGGCGGAAGAGGCCCCUCUUCCAGAUGGCCAGUCUCAGGAGGUCUCAUUGCCUCAAGAGGCGCCACGGUCUCCGGAAGGAGCCACCAGCACUGACGCACUCCGCCUCAUUGAGCACCCAGUGUACUUCGUCAGCACAGUGUUGCGGGAUGCAAGAGCACGGUAUCCCAUGCCUCAGAAACUCCUCCUCGCGCUACUGAUGGCUUCGCGCAAGCUGCAACACUAUUUUCAGGGUCACCACAUCAAGGUCGUCUCGUCAUACCCCCUGGAGAGAGUGCUCAGGAGCCCUAAUUCAGCUGGAAGGGUCGCUGAGUGGAACAUAGAACUGCAAGCGUUUCAGCUCGAAUUCAUCAUGACCAGGGUCAUCAAGGGAGCAGCAUUGGCGGAUUUUGUGGCAGAGUGGACGGAGGCGCCAGGCCUCAAGGCCAAUGAGGAUCGGUCCCUAUCCCCGGGAAGCGAGGCGCCAGAAGGCUGGGUCAUGUACUUCGAUGGGGCGUUCUCCAGGCAUGGCGCUGGAGCUGGGGCGGUGCUUAUAUCGCCCACACAGGACAAGCUCUAUUACGCUGUGCAACUCUGUUUCCAGCAAGGCGAAAAUGUCUCCAACAACAUAGCGGAGUAUGAAGGUUUAAUAGCGGGCUUGAAGGCCGCGGCUGCCCUGGGAGUGAAACGCCUCACCAUCAAGGGCGAUUCGCAGCUCCUCGUCAAUUUCUCCAACAAGGUGUACGAGCCGAAGGAUGAGCACAUGGAAGCCUACCUUGCGGAAGUCCGCAAGAUGGAGAAGCAAUUCUGGAGGUUGGAGUUGCAGCAUGUGCCCCGUGGCACCAAUCAGGAGGCUGACGACAUUGCCAAACGUGCGUCCAGACGGUUACCCCAGGAGCCUGGCGUUUUUGAGGAGCGACUCUUCAAGCCCUCAGCUCUGCCGUCAUUAUCAAACAUGGCUCAGCCCUGGGAGGAGCUCCCCCAGCCACCUGCCUCAGGAGCUCCGACCUGUGGUCCGGCCUCAGGAGCGCGCCUGCUCCUGACGAUAGAACCUCAGGAGGGAUGUUGGAUCACGGAGCUCCGGAGCUACUUAGCGCAAGGGACCUUGCCGGAGAAGGAGGAGGAAGCGGAGCGAGUGGCACGCCAGGCCACGACAUACUGCAUCAAAGAUGGAGAGCUCUACCGGAAGCGACCAAACGAUGUAUCCCUGCACUGUAUCUCCAGGGAGCAAGGGAAGGAACUACUGGAAGAUAUACACGGCGGAGACUGCAGACAUCGUUCAUCAUCGCGGACCCUCGUCGGCAAGGCAUUCUGCAGUGGGUUUUAUUGGCCCACCGCGCUCAAUGACGCCGUGGAACUAGUGAAAGCUUGUGAAGCCUGCUAGUUCCACGCCAAGCAGAUCCAUCAGCCAGCAGGAGGCUUGCAGACUAUCCCCCUUUUGUGGCCAUUCGCAGUCUGGGGGCUGGACAUCUUGGGCCCGUUUCCUCGGGCGCCAGGGGGCCACCGCUACCUCUAUGUUGCCGUGGACAAAUUCACCAAGUGGACUGAAGUAGAGGCUGUCCGCACCAUUCCCGCAGGUUCCGCGAUCAAGUUCAUCAAGGGCAUCGUGAGCCAGUUCGGGGUGCCGAAUUGCAUCAUCACAGACAACGGUUCGUAGUUCACCAAUAACCUCUUCAAAACAUACUGUGCUAACCUUGGAACGCAGAUAUGCUACGCCUCAGUGGCGCAUCCCCGAAGCAACGGCCAGGCCGAGCGAGCCAACGCGGAGGUCCUGAGGGGCCUCAAGACCAGGACGUUCAAGAAGAAGCUGGAGGCCUGUGGUAGAGGUUGGUACGACGAGCUUCAGUCCAUGCUGUGGUCCAUCCGCACCGCCACGACCAAACCAACUGGAGAGACCCCGUUCUUCCUGGUCUACGGAGCGGAAGCGGUCCUCCCUCAUGAGGUCAGACAUCGCUCCGCGUGGGUCCUAGCGUUCGACGAGGCGCAGCAGGACGCCAUGCGGGGGAUGGACCUCAUGUUGGGGGAGGAACGUCGCCGAGAAGCCGCGCUGCGAGCGACGAGGUACCAGCAAGCAUUGCAGCGAUAUCACUGCCGCAACAUCCGUCCCAGGACUCUUGAGGUAGGAGACCUCGUGCUUAGGCGGGUUCUCUCCAGGGAGGGACUGCACAAGCUCUCUCCCAUGUGGGAGGGCCCGUUCAAGGUUGUUCAUGUUUCUAGGCCCAGCUCCGCGCGCUUGGAGACUCAGGAGGGAGUGCCGGUCCAGAAUGCAUGGAACAUCCAGCACCUCCAGAGGUUCUACCCCUGAAAAGGCCCAGAGCCUGUGAAGCAAGACGAGUGCCUGUGAAGCUAUCACAUUUUGGAAAAGGCCUAGAGCCUGUGAAGCAAGGCGAGUGCCUGUGAAGCUAUCGCAUUUUGGAAAAGGCCCAGAGCCUGUGAAGCAAGGCGAGUGCCUGUGAAGCUAUCGCAUUUUGGAAAAGGCCCAGAGCCUGUGAAGCAAGGCGAGUGCCUGUGAAGCUAUCACAUUUUGGAAAAGGCCCAAAGCCUGUGAAGCAAGGCGAGCGCCUGUGAAGCUAUCACAUUUUGGAAAAGGCCCAGAGCCUGUGAAGCAAGGCGAGUGCCUGUGAAGCUAUCGUGUUUUGGAAAAGGCCCGGAGCCUGUGAAGAAGGCCAACGCCUGUGAAGCUCGCCGCCCGUGACACUCUCACGUAAUAAUGAGUGGGGCUGUACACGCCCCGGAGUCUCAGGAGUGCCGGCCUCAGGCCCUGGGGCUCCCUCCCACGCCCAGUGGCAGCACUUAGCUCCGCACUGGUGAGAAGACGUCGAAGACUAGAUUAGGUGCCGGACGCGCCUUUUUCAUUUGCUUUCCGCAGUUGGCUUGUUUGUUCGCAUUUGAAGUUUAAUUGAAGUUGCCGCCGUCGUUGGUUUGUGGUUCAUCGAUUUUUGCUCCCCCGCUUUGAUUUCUCUUGCGCAAGGCCUCGUGAGAGGGCGGCAGCUGAACGCCCUCACGAGCGUUCCUAUCCUAGUCAUUCAAAGGGUUCGCGACCUGGGCCCCUUACAGGAGCACCCCUCUAGUCCGUGCCCCACGGGCACAACGACACAAACAAAGGGCUUGGGUCGGUCGCCCCCCCCACGGCCGGGGUCGGGAACUAUCCACGCGCAGACACACAACCGAAAGGCACGAAAACGGAAUCAAGGUAAUGGUUAAUAGCAAUAACCCCGAACACGCCCCCGCGGGGCUCCAUGCAGUUGUUUUCUUUUAUGCAGGAAACAAAAGGAGAGAAAGGACAAGCCCAGCGUGGCUCGCCUCGCACCGGCCUGCGGAGGAGACUCGGGCUGUCUCUGAGGAUCAAGCAGACUCCCUCUCGCGCUUCACCGGGGCGCGACGGCGGGCGGACGUACUGCCGCCUCCCAAGCAAGCGCGACGGCGCGGGGGCUGACUGCGGCCACCGCUGGAAGAGUCGCUUGAAGAAGAGUCGAUGAAGCUUGGGGAGCCUUGAGCGCCGCCAACCAUGCGGGCGCUGUCUCCUCCGUCGUCGUCGAGGCUGGGUCCCCGGGCGCGAUCGUCGUCCUCAGGGCAACACCCUGCGCGGCGACCAUCUUCCCCAAACACCCUCACAUAGAGGGUGGCAUCACCGUCAAACUUAAAGUGCAGGGUGCACCGGCGCUCCAGGACGCGAGCACGGGCAAACGCCUGCCAACCACAGGUCAGGGCCAAGCUCCCAGUGGCGGAGACCUCCGGUGCAGCCCAUGAGGCCUGGCUGCAACAGCCAUCCGCCUGUAGCCAGAGGCCGCCCGGGGCACCGGCCGGGAGCUCACCAAGGAGGAAGCGAGGGAGUUGGAGCCGGGCGAUAGUAGGCUCCGCCGACUAUACGACGAACUCUGGCAGCACCUCCGGAACGCGAAAGUGUGGCCUAGGGGAGCGCGCAACCAAGGCGCGUCCUCCGUCCAUAGCAGCUCGUGUUGGGGAACGUAGUAAUUUCAAAAAAUUUCCUACGCACACGCAAGAUCAUGGUGAUGCAUAGCAACGAGAGGGGAGAGUGUUGUCUACGUACCCUCGUAGACCAAAGCGGAAGCAUUGACGCAACGUAGAGGAAGUAGUCGUACGUCUUCCCGGUCCGACCGAUCCAAGCACCGUUACUCCGGCACCUCCGAGUUCUUGACACACGUACAACUCGAUGACGCACCCCGGGCACCGAUCCAGCAAAGCCUCGAGGAGGAGUUUCGUCAGCACGACGGCGUGGUGACGAUCUUGAUGUUCAACUAUCGCAGGGCUUCGCCUAAGCACCACUACAAUAUGAUCGAGGUGUAAUAUCGUGGAGGGGGGCACCGCACACGGCUAAGGAAUGAUCACGAAGAUCAACUUGUGUGUUCUAGGGUGCCCCCUGCCCCCGUAUAUAAAGGAGCAAGGGGGAGGCUGGCCGGCCCUUGGUGCGCCAAGGAGAGGGGGGAGUCCUUCUCCUAGUGGGAGUAGGACUCCCCUUUCCUAGUCCAACUAGGAAUAGGAAGGGGAAGGAAAGAGAGGGAGAGGGAGAGGGAAAGGGGGGCCGCGCCCCCCUCCUAGUCCUAUUCGGACUCCCCAUGAGGGGGGGCGCGCCACCUCCUGGGCUGCUGCCCUCUCUCUCCCCUCAGGCCCAAUAAGGCCCAUUACUUCCCCGGGGGGUUCCGGUAACCCCUCCGGCACUUCGGUUUUAUCCGAAAUCACCCGGAACAAUUCCGGUGUCCGAAUAUAGUCGUCCAAUAUAUCGAUCUUUAUGUCUCGACCAUUUCGAGACUCCUCGUCAUGUCCGUGAUCACAUUCGGGACUCCGAACAUCCUUCGGUACAUCAAAAUACACAAACUCAUAAAGAAACUGUCAUCAUAACUUUAAGCGUGCAGACCCUACAGUUCGAGAACAAUGUAGACAUGACCGAGAUACGUCUCCGGUCAAUAACCAAUAGCGGGACCUGGAUGCCCAUAUUGGCUCCUACAUAUUCUACGAAGAUCUUUAUCGGUCAGACCGCAUAACAACAUACGUUGUUCCCUUUGUCAUCGGUAUGUUACUUGCCCGAGAUUCGAUCGUCGGUAUCCAAUACCUAGUUCAAUCUCGUUAUCGGCAAGUCUCUUUACUCGUUCCGUAAUACAUCAUCUCACAACUAACACAUUAGUUGUAAUGCUUGCAAGGCUUAUGUGAUGUGCAUUACCGAGAGGGCCCAGAGAUACCUCUCCGACAUUCGGAGUGACAAAUCCUAAUCUCGAAAUACGCCAACCCAACAAGUACCUUUGGAGACACCUGUAGAGCACCUUUAUGAUCACCCAGUUAUGUUGUGACGUUUGGUAGCACACAAAGUGUUCCUCCGGUAAACGGGAGUUGCAUAAUCUCAUAGUCACAGGAACAUGUAUAAGUCAUGAAGAAAGCAAUAGCAACAUACUAAACGAUUGGGUGCUAAGCUAAUGGAAUGGGUCAUGUCAAUCAGAUCAUUCAACUAAUGAUGUGACCUCGUUAAUCAAAUAACAACUCUUUGUUCAUGGUUAGGAAACAUAACCAUCUUUGAUUAACGAGCUAGUCAAGUAGAGGCAUACUAGUGACACUUUGUUUGUCUAUGUAUUCACACAUGUAUUAUGUUUCCGGUUAAUACAAUUCUAGCAUGAAUAAUAAACAUUUAUCAUGAUAUAAGGAAAUAAAUAAUAACUUUAUUAUUGCCUCUAGGGCAUAUUUCCUUCAGUCUCCCACUUGCACUAGAGUCAAUAAUCUAGAUUACACAGUGAUGAUUCUAACACCUAUGGAGCCUUGGUGCUGAUCAUGUUUUGCUCGUGGAAGAGGCUUAGUCAACGGGUCUGCUACAUUCAGAUCCGUAUGUAUCUUGCAAAUCUCUAUGUCUCCCACCUGGACUAGAUCCCGGAUGGAAUUGAAGCGUCUCUUGAUGUGCUUGGUUCUUUUGUGAAAUCUGGAUUCCUUUGCCAAGGCAAUUGCACGAGUAUUGUCACAAAAGAUUUUCAUUGGACCCGAUGCACUAGGUAUGACACCUAGAUCGGAUAUGAACUCCUUCAUCCAGACUCCUUUGUUUGCUGCUUCUGAAGCAGCUAUGUACUCCACUUCACAUGUAGAUCCCGCCACGACGCUUUGUUUAGAACUGCACCAACUGACAGCUCCACCAUUUAAUGUGAACACAUAUCCAGUUUGCGAUUUAGAAUCAUCCGGAUCAGUGUCAAAGCUUGCAUCAACGUAACCGUUUACAAUGAGCUCUUUGUCACCUCCAUAUAUGAGAAACAUAUCCUUAGUCCUUUUCAGGUACUUCAGGAUGUUCUUGACCGCUGUCUAGUGAUCCACUCCUGGAUUACUUUGGUACCUCCCUGCUAAACUUAUAGCAAGGCACACAUCAGAUCUGGUACACAGCAUUGCAUACAUGAUAGAGCCUAUGGCUGAAGCAUAGGGAACAUCUUUCAUUUUCUCUCUAUCUUCUGCAGUGGUCGGGCAUUGAGUCUGACUCAACUUCACACCUUGUAACACAGGCAAGAACCCUUUCUUUGCUUGAUCCAUUUUGAACUUCUUCAAAAUCUUGUCAAGGUAUGUGCUUUGUGAAAGUCCAAUUAAGCGUCUUGAUCUAUCUCUAUAGAUUUUUAUGCCUAAUAUGUAAGCAGCUUCACCGAGGUCUUUCAUUGAAAAACUCUUAUUCAAGUAUCCCUUUAUGCUAUCCAGAAAUUCUAUAUCAUUUCCAAUCAGUAAUAUGUCAUCCACAUAUAAUAUCAGAAAUGCUAUAGAGCUCCCACUCACUUUCUUGUAAAUACAGGCUUCUCCGAAAGUCUGUAUAAACCCAAAUGCUUUGAUCACACUAUCAAAGCGUCUAUUCCAACUCCGAGAGGCUUGCACCAGUCCAUAAAUGGAUCGCUGGAGCUUCCACACUUUGUUAGCUCCCUUUGGAUCGACAAAACCUUCCGGUUGCAUCAUAUACAACUCUUCUUCCAGAAAUCCAUUCAGGAAUGCAGUUUUGACAUCCAUCUGCCAAAUUUCAUAAUCAUAAAAUGCGGCAAUUGCUAACAUGAUUCGGACAGACUUAAGCAUCGCUACGGGUGAGAAGGUCUCAUCGUAGUCAACCCCUUGAACUUGUCGAAAACCUUUUGCGACAAGUCGAGCUUUGUAGACAAUAAUAUUACCGUCAGCGUCAUUCUUCUUCUUGAAGAUCCAUUUAUUCUCAAUUGCUUGCCGAUCAUCGGGCAAGUCAACCAAAGUCCAUACUUUGUUCUCAUACAUGGAUCCCAUCUCAGAUUUCAUGGCUUCAAGCCAUUUUGCGGAAUCUGGGAUCACCAUCGCUUCUUCAUAGUUCGUAGGUUCAUCAUGAUCUAGCAGCAUGAUUUCCAGAACGGGAUUUCCGUACCACUCUGGCGCGGUUCUCACUCUGGUUGAUCUACGAGGUUCAGUAGUAUCUUGUCCUGAAGUUUCAUGAUCAUUAUCAUUAGCUUCCUCACUAAUUGGUGUAGGUGUCGUAGAAACAGUUUUCUGUGAUGUACUACUUUCCAAUAAGGGAGCAGGUACAGUUACCUCAUCAAGUUCUACUUUCCUCCCACUCACAUCUUUCAAGAGAAACUCCUUCUCCAGAAAGUUUCCGAAUUUAGCAACAAAAGUCUUGCCUUCGGAUCUGUGAUAGAAGGUGUAUCCAAUAGUUUCCUUUGGAUAUCCUAUGAAGACACAUUUCUCCGAUUUGGGUUCGAGCUUAUCAGGUUGAAGCUUUUUCACAUAAGCAUCGCAGCCCCAAACUUUCAGAAACGACAACUUUGGUUUCUUGCCAAACCAUAGUUCAUAAGGCGUUGUCUCAAUGGAUUUUGAUGGUGCCCUAUUCAACGUGAAUGCGGCCGUCUCUAAAGCAUAACCCCAAAACGAUAGCGGUAAAUCAGUAAGAGACAUCAUAGAUCGCACCAUAUCUAGUAAAGUACGAUUACAACGUUCGGACACACCAUUACGCUGUGGUGUUCCAGGUGGCGUGAGUUGCGAAACUAUUCCGCAUUGCUUCAAAUGAACACCAAACUCGUAACUCAAAUAUUCUCCUCCAUGAUCAGAUCGUAGAAACUUUAUUUUCUUGUUACGAUGAUUUUCAACUUCACUCUGAAAUUCUUUGAACUUUUCAAAUGUUUCAGACUUAUGUUUCAUUAAGUAGAUAUAUCCAUAUCUGCUUAAGUCAUCUGUGAAGGUGAGAAAAUAACGAUAUCCGCCACGAGCCUCAAUAUUCAUCGGACCACAUACAUCUGUAUGUAUGAUUUCCAACAAAUCUGUUGCUCUCUCCAUAGUACCGGAGAACGGUGUUUUAGUCAUCUUGCCCAUGAGGCACGGUUCGCAAGUACCAAGUGAUUCAUAAUCAAAAAGUCCAUCAGUAUGGAGUUUCUUCAUGCGUUUUACACCGAUAUGACCUAAACGGCAGUGCCACAAAUAAGUUGCACCAUCAUUAUCAACUCUGCAUCUUUUGGCUUCAACAUUAUGAAUAUUUGUAUCUCUACUAUCGAGAUUCAAUAAGAAUAGACCACUCUUCAAGGGUGCAUGACCAUAAAAGAUAUUACUCAUAUAAAUAGAAUAACCAUUAUUCUCUGAUUUAAAUGAAUAACCGUCUCGCAUUAAACAAGAUCCAGAUAUAAUGUUCAUGCUCAACGCUGGCACCAAAUAACAAUUAUUUAGGUCUAAUACUAAUCCCGAAGGUAGAUGUAGAGGUAGCGUGCCGACCGCGAUCACAUCGACUUUGGAACCGUUUCCCACGCGCAUCGUCACCUCGUCCUUAGCCAAUCUUCGCUUAAUCUGUAGUCCCGGUUUCGAGUUGCAAAUAUUAGCAACAGAACCAGUAUCAAAUACCCAGGUGCUACUGCGAGCAUUAGUAAGGUACACAUCAAUAACAUGUAUAUCGCAUAUACCUUUGUUCACCUUGCCAUCCUUCUUAUCCGCCAAAUACUUGGGGCAGUUCCGCUUCCAGUGACCAGUCUGCUUGCAGUAGAAGCACUCAGUUUCAGGCUUAGGUCCAGACUUGGGUUUCUUCUCUUGAGCAGCAACUUGCUUGCCGUUCUUCUUGAAGUUCCUCCUCUUCUUCUCUUUGCCCUUUUUCUUGAAACUAGUGGUCUUGUUGACCAUCAACACUUGAUGCUCCUUUUUGAUUUCUACCUCCGCAGCUUUCAGCAUUGCGAAGAGCUCGGGAAUAGUUUUAUUCAUCCCUUGCAUAUUAUAGUUCAUCAUGAAGCUCUUGUAGCUUGGUGGCAGUGAUUGGAGAAUUCUGUCAAUGACACAAUCAUCUGGAAGAUUAACUCCCAUCUGAAUCAAGUGAUUAUUAUAACCAGACAUUUUGAGUAUAUGCUCACUGACAGAACUAUUCUCCUCCAUCUUGCAGCUAUAGAACUUAUUGGAGACUUCAUAUCUCUCAAUCCGGGCAUUUGCUUGAAAUAUUAACUUCAACUCCUGGAACAUCUCAUAUGCUCCAUGACGUUCAAAACGUCGUUCAAGUCCCGAUUCUAAGCCGUAAAGCAUGGCACACUGAACUAUCGAGUAGUCAUCAUCUUUGCUCUGCCAGACGUUCAUAACAUCUGGUGUUGCUCCAGCAGCAGGCCUGGCACCCAGCGGUGCUUCCAGGACGUAAUUCUUCUGUGCAGCAAUGAGGAUAAUCCUCAAGUUACGGACCCAGUCCGUGUAAUUUCUACCAUCAUCUUUCAACUUUGCUUUCUCAAGGAACACAUUAAAAUUCAACGGAACAACAGCAUGGGCCAUCUAUCUACAAUCAAACAUACAUAAGCAAGAUACUAUCAGGUACUAAGUUCAUGAUAAAUUUAAGUUUAAUUAAUCAAAUUACUUUAAAGAACUCCCACUUAUAUAGACAUCCCUCUAAUCCUCUAAGUGAUCACGUGAUCCAAAUCAACUAAACCAUGUCCGAUCAUCACGUGAGAUGGAGUAGUUUCAUUGGUGAACAUCGCUAUGUUGAUCAUAUCUACUAUAUGAUUCACGCUCGACGGUCUCCGUGUUCCGAGGCCAUAUCUGCAUAUGCUUGGCUCGUCAAGUAUAACCUGAGUAUUCCGCGUGUGCAACUGUUUUGCACCCGUUGUAUUUGAACAUAGAGCCUAUCACACCCGAUCAUCACGUGGUGUCUCAGCACGAAGAACUUUCGCAACGGUGCAUACUCAGGGAGAAGACUUCUUGAUAAUUUUAGUGAGAGAUCAUCUUAUAAUGCUACCGUCAAUCAAAGCAAGAUAAGAUGCAUAAAAGAUAAACAUCACAUGCAAUCAAUAUAAGUGAUAUGAUAUGGCCAUCAUCAUCUUGUGCCUGUGAUCUCCAUCUCCGAAGCACCGUCAUGAUCACCAUCGUCACCGGCGCGACACCUUGAUCUCCAUCGUAGCAUCGUUGUCGUCUCGCCAAUCUUAUGCUUCCACGACUAUCGCUACCGCUUAGUGAUAAAGUAAAGCAUUGCAGCGCGAUUGCAUUGCAUACAAUAAAGCGACAACCAUAUGGCUCCUGCCAGUUGCCGAUAACUCGGUUACAAAACAUGAUCAUCUCAUACAAUAAAAUUUAGCAUCAUGUCUUGACCAUAUCACAUCACAACAUGCCCUGCAAAAACAAAUUAGACGUCCUCUACUUUGUUUGUUGCAAGUUUUACGUGGCUGCUACGGGCUUAAGCAAGAACCAAUCUUACCUACGCAUCAAAACCACAACGAUAGUUUGUCAAGUUGGUGCUGUUUUAACCUUCGCAAGGACCGGGCGUAGCCACACUCAGUUCAACUAAAGUUGGAGAAACUGUCACCCGCAAGCCACCUAUGUGCAAAGCACGUCGGGAGAACUGGUCUCGCGUAAGCGUACGCGUAAUGUCGGUCCGGGCCGCUUCGUCCAACAAUACCGCCGAACCAAAGUAUGACAUGCUGGUAAGCAGUAUGACUUAUAUCGCCCACAACUCACUUGUGUUCUACUCAUGCAUAUAACAUCGACACAUAAAACCUAGGCUCGGAUGCCACUGUUGGGGAACGUAGUAAUUUCAAAAAAAUUCCUACGCACACGCAAGAUCAUGGUGAUGCAUAGCAACGAGAGGGGAGAGUGUUGUCUACGUACCCUCGUAGACCGAAGCAGAAGUGUUGACGCAACGUAGAGGAAGUAGUCGUAUGUAUUCCCGGUCCGACCGAUCCAAGCACCGUUACUCCGGCACCUCCAAGUUCUUGACACACGUACAACUCGAUGACGCACCCCGGGCUCCGAUCCAGCAAAGCUUCGGGGAGGAGUUUCGUCAGCACGACGGCGUGGUGACAAUCUUGAUGUUCAUGUCGCAGGGCUUCGCCUAAGCACCACUACAAUAUGAUCGAGCUGUAAUAUCGUGGAGGGGGGCACCGCACACGGCUAAGGAACGAUCACGAAGAUCAACUUGUGUGUUCUAGGGUGCCCCUGCCCCCAUAUAUAAAGGAGAAAGGGGGAGGCCGGACGGCCCUUGGUGCGCCAAGGAGAGGGGGGGAGUCCUUCUCCUAGUGGGAGUAGGACUCCCCUUUCCUAGUCCAACUAGGAAUAGGGAGGGGGAAGGAAAGAGAGGGAGAGGGAGAGGGAAAGGGGGGCCGCCCCCCCCUCCUAGUCCUAUUCAGACUCCCCAUGAGGGGGGCGCGCCACCUCCUGGGCUGCUGCCCUCUCUCUCCCCUCAGGCCCAAUAAGGCCCAUUACUUCCCCGGGGGGUUCGGUAACCCCUCCAGCACUCUGGUUUUAUCCGAAAUCACCCAGAACAAUUCCGGUGUCCGAGUAUAGUCGUCCAAUAUAUCGAUCUUUAUGUCUCGACCAUUUUGAGACUCCUCGUCAUGUCCGUGAUCACAUCUGGGACUCCGAACAUCCUUCGGUACAUCAAAAUACACAAACUCACAAUGAAACUGUCAUCGUAACUUUAAGCGUUCGGACCCUACGGUUCGAGAACAAUGUAGACAUGAUCGAGAUACGUCUCCGGUCAAUAACCAAUAGCGGGACCUGGAUGCCCAUAUUGGCUCCUACAUAUUCUACGAAGAUCUUUAUCGGUCAGACCGCAUAACAACAUACGUUGUUCCCUUUGUCAUCGGUAUGUUACUUGCCCGAGAUUCGAUCGUCGGUAUCCAAUACCUAGUUCAAUCUCGUUAUCGGCAAGUCUCUUUACUCGUUCCGUAGUACAUCAUCUCACAACUAACACAUUAGUUGUAAUGCUUGCAAGGCUUAUGUGAUGUGCAUUACCGAGAGGGCCCAGAGAUACCUCUCCAACAUUUGGAGUGACAAAUCCUAAUCUCGAAAUACGCCAACCCAACAAGUACCUUUGGAGACACUUGUAGAGCACCUUUAUGAUCACCCAGUUAUGUUGUGACGUUUGGUAGCACACAAAGUGUUCCUCCGGUAAACGGGAGUUGCAUAAUCUCAUAGUCACAGGAACAUGUAUAAGUCAUGAAGAAAACAAUAGCAACAUACUAAAUGAUCGGGUGCUAAGCUAAUGGAAUGGGUCAUGUCAAUCAGAUCAUUCAACUAAUGAUGUGACCUUGUUAAUCAAAUAACAACUCUUUGUUCAUGGUUAGGAAACAUAACCAUCUUUGAUUAACGAGCUAGUCAAGUAGAGGCAUACUAGUGACACUUUGUUUGUCUAUGUAUUCACACAUGUAUUAUGUUUCCGGUUAAUACAAUUCUAGCAUGAAUAAUAAACAUUUAUCAUGAUAUAAGGAAAUAAAUAAUAACUUUAUUAUUGCCUCUAGGGCAUAUUUCCUUCAGCUCGCCUGUCACCGCGCUAGGAACCAUCUCCGCGACCGCGGGAAGCUGCUGUGGCGACCACGUGAUGCUUCCGGGGGCGCCCUCGGCCGCGCUUGGGUGCGGGAGAGGUAGGCUUGACCUGGCAGGCCUUUCCCUUCUCUGCUGCAGAGAAACGGCGAAUCGGAGCCAUCGCGGCAAGAUGGAGCAAGGACUGGGAAGAAGGAGGAGCAAGGAGCGAUGGACUGGAAGGGCACGCGUAGUUCCGUACUUAUAGCCGGCGAAGGCCAACCGCCGGCCUCCACGAUCGCAGGUAAUCAUGACACGAUUUGCAUGCAGGGACUUGUCCAACCCGCGCGAUCACCGAGGCAUCAUGGGGAAGCGGAGACACCCACAUCCCAUCAACCGCCACGCGGUGCCCAAGGCCGCAGGCUGUUAGGGCCCGCGGCGCUUCGCCCUUGCCCUUUCGCCUCUCGGCACGGCCAAGUCCGGGCGCGCCUUGGGCCCGGGGGCUACUGUCGGCGUUCUGGGAAUGGGGGUCCCCAGACUUGCCUGCUUGCGGCCUGCGGCAUGGCUCAAAGGGGGCCCAGCACGGCCCAUCUUCAUCAACACAAGACUCAAGACCCUCGCGAGGGGCUAAGCGUCGCAGGGCGGACGACGUGGAGCUUCCUCAGGCGCGGACUCGUCAGGCUGGCUCGCGAGGAGGCGAAGAAAUCAAGGUGGGGUACCUCGCGAGGUGCCCAUGACGCAAGCCAUGAUGAUCAAAGGCGCCAGGCGGGUGCCAGCCCGCGCAGCGUCCUCCUUUCCUCUUUGGUGCAAAGGGAGCAAGCGUAGCCGCGGAGUACCGAGGCAUCAGGCAAAGGUUGCCAUUUCGGUGCAACGAGACCAAGACCAGGAGGACUACGAGACGGAGGUCACCGUGGAGCCCAAGACGGUGUCAUCACCAGAGCUUUGCGCAGGCGAAGACUACUUUUGUCAGGAUAGCUGAUACUUGACGUCCCCCUUCAAAUUAGCCCGCCAUUGUUGGCUCCCUUCCCGCUCGAUAUUUGGGAAGAGGACCAGGGCCUCUAUAAAUAGGAUCAACCACCCACAUAACAAGGGGGGGCGGUGAGUGUGAGUAAGUAAGAGAGAGAGAAGGGUGACUGAACUCCUCCUAGCAGUUCGUCGCCCCAGCCAAGAGCAGACCCUCGCAAGGCUGUUCUUCCUUGUAUUGUUCAUCAUCAUCAGCCCCAAGAGGCAAUCCACCCACCAAACACUGGAGUAGGGUAUUACACCACAACGGUGGCCCGAACCAGUAUAAACCUUGUGUCUCUUGUGCAGUUCUUUCAGUAGUCUAGAUCUUUGCGAGACGGUGAGGUAGAAGGUGUAAUCUUCGCGCGCACCCCAGAGUUUGAACCUUAAGGGUCUGCCGGAACUCGAAAUCCGACAAUCAUUCUCGGAUUUUGAAGAUCGAAGAAGAUUUUCUCUUUAAUAUUGCUCCAUUCUCUUCAAGAUUCGUGAUUCUAGCUUGUUGCCAUCCUCUCAUAAUUCUCUUCGGUUGUGAAAAUUCUUUUCAUCUAUCCGGAGCAAUUCAAGAGUCUUCUCAGUUUGUUUCUCCGGAGCCCAUCAUCUCAGAAUUAUUCAUGUCAGCUUUCAGCUAUCAUUCACCAAAUCUUACCGGUGCAUCAUUCAAGUAUUCUCUUAUCAGCUCGUGAUCUCUUUGUUUCACUUGUAUCUAAAUCCUCUCAAGCAUCUUCAUUCGUUCUCUAAUUCUUACCCGGUGAUUCAUCCCUUUACUUCGUUCUUUUUCAAUUCUUACGGUGGGUCGUUCAAGAUUUCCCUUCCUUCGUUAUCAUAUCAACUCAUUCGUUGUUCCAAUCCUACCGAUGGUUCAUUGAAGACCUUUCUCAAGUUGGCGCUAUGUCUAUCUAAAUCCUUUCUACGAGUAUAAGUAGUAUGAAAAAAUCCGUUGCUUGUCAUCAAUUUAAAUUGGUGAAUGAUAAGCGUAACAUAAUUCUUAUUCUUGAUUCACCCAAGUGAUUAAUUCCUUAUUCCGAAGGUUCAUCUAAAUUCUUGAUUUCUGUUGUUCAUCUUUUCUUUACCCGGAGUUCCAAGCUCUAAUUAUCACGGAGAUCCAUCUAAAGCAUUACAAGGUUUCAACUUGUGUUUUCAACUUCUAUUUCCUUCCGUUUGAUCAUUAUUUUGUUUAACGGAGUUCUUCAUGAAGGUUCUACAUGAUGGUUCAUCAAGGAUUUAAUUCCUUCUUGAAGUGGCCAUUGAGAUUCUUUUCAAAGGAGCUCAAGUAUUCUCCAUCUUGCAAUCCGGAGUGCAAUUCUUUCUUCCGUAUCAUUGGAGGUGGUGUUAUGUCGUUCUUGAUAAUUUCCCUUCGUGCUUCGUGAUUCACAAGUUAUCAAGAAUGAGAUAUUUUAAAUCCAUCAAUCUCGUCAUUGGAGUUAUCUUGGGUUAUAUUUCACCUAAAGCUUUCCCUAAGGAUUGUUGCUAAUUAUGAUGCUUAUAAAUGACCCAAGUUCUUCAUUCAUCCUUCCGGUGAAAUAAGUUUCUCGCCUCCUUGUUCAUAUCAACCCAAUCUUUUGUUUUCCAUUGGUGGCAGAAUUUCACCUCAUAAUUUUGAGAUGUUUUCCAUAAGCCCACAACAAGCUUACUCUCUUCAUUGUUGGUUUUCCAACAACUCCGUUAUAACCUUCUUGGAAGGGUGCUUUCCAAGAUCAUUUGUGGCAGAAGUUGUCAUUCUCUUCUCCAUUUUGUUAUUCCAAUGAUAUAUCUUUUAUUCUUCCUUCCGGAGGCAUUGUGUUGUUACUCCCUUCUUCCCAUCAACUCAUUUUUUUCCAAGAUCAUAUUCUUUUCUAGCUUAUCCAUUUAACCGGAGUGUUGUCGUAGUUGGUCUUAUCAUUCCUUGUACAUCUCGUGUCAACCGAGGUGCUUGCAUCUACUUCUUAUCCAUUGUAACAUUUUUUUUCUUAUGUCUUUCAACCUACAAGGUUCUCGUAAUGUUCCUUGUUCCUCUUUUCUACCGGUUUGUUUUCAAUUUAUUCAUCUUCGUUGUAUUCUUUCUUUCUAUUUGUUCAACUUUUCAAGGUUCUUUGGUUUCACUCAUUGGUCAAAGAAGCAACUUAGUUUUACCUCUUCUCUUUCUCUUCCGUUUUUUUCCUGGUGCCAUCCUAGAUCUCGGGACGAGAUCCUCUCGUAGUGGUGGAGUGUUGUGAUGCCCCGAUACUGAUAUGCCAGGUGUCUUCCAUUAUUCGCUGUUGUUGUCUUGUCAUUCACUUGCGUGUUGCAUCUUGUCAUGUCAUCAUGUGCAUUUCAUCAUCACGUUUUUAAAACUUGCAUCUCUCCUGGUCUCGUCGUUCUUUCCGUUGUUCGUUCUGAGCCCGACCACACUUGCACGCGCCCGCGGCAUGUCUGAAAUAGUAUUUUAUAAGUGGCCGGAAAAUGUUCUCGGAUUGGGUUGAUAGUUGGCGUGUGGUAUUAUUAUAGUGUAGAUAGACUGCCUAUCAAGUUUCAUCGCAUUCGAAGCUCGUUUGAUAGCCAAACCGUUAAACUAUAGAGACAAUAUAGUCGGUCAAAUCGUCGGACGUUUUCGAUAUCCGGGACUACCGCCGAGCCUCUUCUUCUCUUCUCUGCUCUCAGACCACCUAGUUUCCCCUCCGCUUCGGACCGCACGAUCGCGAUCCGAGGGUCCAAAACGGAGCAAGCCCCUCUCCAAACCCUAAUCCUAGCCCUCCUACUAUAAAUAGACCCCUUCCCUUUCCAAAUCGGGUCUAAACCUAGCCUAGCCCCUCCCCAAACCUCCAGCCACCACAUCAACCUCGAAGCCCGCGCCGCUAACCAGAUCCAACCACCCCCUGCUCAUUUUCCGGUGCCCUCCACCUCACACCCGCCACUUGGCGUGCCUAGAUUGGCUCAGCCACCGCCCGCAGCCGCCCGUGGCCACUCGCAGGUGGCCACAUGACCUCUCCUCGCUUUUCCCCUGUCUCCCCGCGCCGCCGUGGCCCACUCAGGCUCGCGCAAGGCCCGCCCAAGCCCAUCCAGGGCCCGAGCGCCACUCCGGCCGAUCUGCAUCGCCGUGCUGCUUUUCCUCGCUCGAUCCCAAUGAGAACAGGAGCGCCGCCACCGGCCUCUCAUCGCCGCUGCCUUCCCCUCGUGCCCGUGUGCCUUUUACACGAGACCGAAGCCCUCGUACCCAAGCGUCUCCGUCGACCCUGCUUUUGACCGGCGACCUCGUCCGCCGGAGCUCGCCUUCGCUGGCCAGUAGCAGCAGCAACCAGCGCGCCCCUUCGUCCUCCUCUCGCCCUUCACCUUGAGCUGCCGGUGUCACAAGAGGCCGCCAAAUCCCGCCGUGAUCGCCAGGGCCUUCCCCGACCUCGAUCUGUCAAGUCCGCCGGCGGGAGCGGCCUUCACCGCUCAGAUCCAUCGAUGCCUCGCCUCUGCUUCGUUUCAGUCGAGGACGAGCGAUCCCUCGUCAUCGCGUUGACCGCAGAAGACCCGCACCUGGGCCAUGUCUCGUGUCAGGUGCACCAAUCGGCCCAGCUGCCAGGCCCAGCGGCGCCCGGCCUGCCUGGGCCUCUCCACUAACCGACUUGACCUCAGCCCACUGGGUGAGGCCACCCUAGCGCCCCCCUUUUUUUUCUUUCCCUGUUGGGCUUCCUGCUCAGAUGCGGUCCGUAUCAUGUUUUUUCCCUUGGUCGGAUUUAGCUAAUUUAUCCAGAGACUGUCAGUUUUGCAGAAACACCCUUGCACUUCAUGCAUAUCCUAACUAAUUAACCGUGCAUCGAAUUAAAACAAACUUUAUAUGUAAAAUAUCUAGAAUUUUGUCUAGUUUAAUAAUAUCCAACUUUCAUCCAUGUUUAAAAUGUUUAAACCGCUGUUUGUUUAAAUUUGCUUAAAUAACUUGUUAAAAUGCUUUAAUUCAUAACUAAAUAACCGUAACUCGGAAUUUAAUAAACUUUAUAUGUAAAUGGGGUGGAAAAAUUUCUAGUUUAACAUGGUGACCUUACUUUGCAUGUGUAAUAACUCUAAAAUUAUGUUUAGGGCAGAACAGUACCAAACCUAAAAUAUGCAUAUGGGGAUUUACCGGAAUUGUUGUUCGUUGCUUCCGGCCUCAUUUAAACUUGACUAGAUAGGUAGUUUUACUUUGCUUCACCCUCUUGCAAUGUUUAACAACAUUUAAUAUUGUUGGGUACAUAAACAAGAUCGAACUAAAUAAGUCACGUGGUGUUUCGUCAAUAUGGAACGGAGUUGCAUAUUGAGCUCCACUUAAUUUGUAAGGUUGUUUGUGCACUUUUCCAUGCCAUGCCUCAUUAAACCGGACAUGCAUCAUACUUGUUUGCGCAUCGUGCCAUGUUUAUGUGAUGAUUGUUUACCAUGAUUGUUUGCUUCUUUCCGGUGUUGCUUCUUCGGGUUGGUUCCAAUAACGUCGUGUUGUGAGGAUUCGUUCGACUACGUCCGUUUGUCUUCUUCAUGGACUCGUUCUUCUUCCUUGCGGGAUCUCAGGCAAGAUGACCAUACCCUCGAAAUCACUUUAUCUUUGCUUGCUAGAUGCUCGCUCUUUUGCUAUGCCUACGCUACGAUACCUACCACUUGCUUAUCAUGCCUCCCAUUUGCCAUGUCAAGCCUCUGACCCACCUUGUCCUAGCAAACCGUUGUUUGGCUAUGUUAUCGCUUUGCUCAGUCCCUCUUAUAGCAUUGUUAGUUGCAGGUGAAGAUUGGAGCUUGUUCCUUGUUUGGAACAUGGAUAUUUUGUUGGGAUAUCACAAUAUCUCUUAUUUAAUUAAUGCAUCCAUAUACUUGGUAAAGGGUGGAAGACUCGGCCUUAUGCCUGGUGUUUUUUUCCACUCUUGCGGCCCUAGUUUCCGUCAUAUCGGUGUUAUGUUCCCGGAUUUUGCGUUCCUUACACGGUUGGGUUAUAAUGGGAACCCCUUGACAGUUCGCCUUGAAUAAAACUCCUCCAGCAAGGCCCAACAUUGGUUUUACCAUUCGCCACCUAGCCUUUUCUUUCCCUUGGGUUCUGCAGACUCAAGGGUCAUCUUUAUUUUAACCCCCCCGGGCCAGUGCUUCUCUAAGUGUUGGCCCGAACCGAGUAGACUGCGGGGCCACCUCGGGGCAACUUAAGGGUAGGUUUUACUCGUAGGAUGUCUCAUCUGAGUGUGCCCUGAGAACGAGAUAUGUGCAGCUCCUAUCGGGAUUUGUCGGCACAUUUGGGCGGCUUUGCUGGACUUGUUUUACCAUUGUCGAGGAUGUCUUGUAACCGGGAUUCCGAGCCUGAUCGGGUCUUCUUGGGAGAAGGAAUAUCCUUUGUUGACCGUGAGAGCUUGUGAUGGGCUAAGUUGGGACACCCCUGCAGGGAUUUGAACUUUUGAAAGCCGUGCCCGCGGUUAUGGGCAGAUGGGAAUUUGUUAAUGUCUGGUUGUAGAAAAUCUGAAGUUUAUCUUAAUUAAAAUACAUCAACCGCAUUGUAGCCAUGAUGGUCUCUUCUCGGCGGGGUCCGGAAAGUGAACAUGGUGUUGGAGUUAUGAUUGACGUAGGUUGUUCUAGGAUCACUUCUUGAUCAUAGUUUUCCGCUUGUGCCAUUGCCUUCUCUUCUCGCUCUCUUUUGCGCAUAUGUUAGCCACCAAAUACGCUAGUCGCUUGCUGCAGCUCCACCUCAUACCUUUUACCCUACCUAUAAGCUUAAACAGUCUUGAUCGCGACGGUGUGAGAUUGCUAAGUCCCCGUGACUCACAGAUACUUCCAAAACCAGUUUGCAGGUGCCGAUGAUACCGUGCAGGUGACACAACCAAGCUCAAAGAGGAGCUUGAUGAAGAUCGUGUUCAUUGUGUUGUUCCGUUUCCCGUUGAUCAGUAGUGGAGCCCAGUUGGGACGAUCGGGGAUCUGUGUAGCAUUUGGGGUAGUCUUCUUUUAUUUUGGUUCCGUAGUCAGACCUUGAUUGUAUCUGGUUGAUGUAAUGCUUUAUUCAUGUAAUUGUGUGAAGUGGCGAUUGUAAGCCAACUAUGUAUCUCUUUCCCUUAUGUAUUACAUGGGUUGUGUGAAGAUUACCUCACUUGCGACAUUGCUUACAAUGCGGUUAUGCCUCUAAGUCGUGCUUCGACACGUGGGAGAUAUAGCCGCAUCGUGGGCGUUACAAAGAAUCAAGAGCAUGGAAAAUGAGCAAAAUCUCAUGUUCAUUGACCGAAGUACUCUCGAUGAGAAGGCAAGAGCAUACUUAGAGCUUUGUCAUGGUCAAGUGUUGGCGGCAAGGCCUAUGGGAGGCUUCAUGGGAGAGUUGGAAGGCUUUGGAGCAUUCAUGGGAAGAGAGAUGGGUGGCAUGGGAGGAUUCAUGGGAGGUGGUAUGGGUGGCAAUGAAAACAAUUGUGCCAGUGUAGAGAAUUGAAGCACUUGUUCGGGCAAUGGAGGAACUCACAUUUGAGAUCUUUAUGAACUCAUGUUCUAUGCACUUUUGUUUCUGUUUGUGUUGCACAAUGCUUGAGGUUUUAGGUUCAAAUUUAACAAAUUGGAAAUGUUGUGGAUUUGAACUUGAGUUCGAAAUUUUCAAAAAAAUUGAUUAUAUGUGUUGUGAUGUUGCAAAGUAUUAAUUACCAUGUCAUAGUUUAUUUGAAUAUGUUUUGCAAUUGUGGAGUAGAGAAGGCAAAAAUUUAGGGCACCGAUUAUUGGACUGCCGGAAAAUCAUAAACUUUUCUCAUGACCAACAACCAUCUCUCUUCACACCUAAAAUCAAAGCACCAAAUUAUUGGGAUAUAGUUGGAGAUUGAUCUAAUAAAACAUUGAUCACCCUCACCAGUCACCACAUCCAACCUAAGUUGGGUCAGAUCACAAUUUCUUCAUGAUUCAGCAAAAUCUCAUGCACCACCUGCAACAACCCUCACAAGCCGCGAACAUGGCCACGGGAGCAGGCUAGGAAGCCCAAGAUCAGCUUGCACCCGAGUCCGCUGAUGUGUAAUGAAUAUGUGUAUCAUACACAGGAGCCAUAUUCACUUAUAGCGAGAUGUAUGCCCCCUCACCUCAGGCCCGACACGACUGGGCCAGCCCAACACUAUAGCUGUUUUGUGCGGUUAUUCUUUUUGUGUGGGUUUUCUUUGUCUGGGUUUUCAUUGUUUGGGUCCAGUUUUUUUUGUGGUUUUUCUUUCUAUGUGGGUUUCCUUGUCAUGUUUUCCACUGUUUGGGUCCAGGUUUUUUCUGUGUCGUUUUCUUUAUCUUGUUUUCACUGUUUGAGUCUGGUUUCCUUGAUUUUUUUCUGGUUUGUUCUUUAUUUCAUUUCGUUCAGUUUAGCUUUAUUUUUAUUUUUUAUUUAUUUUUCCUUUUUUUCACUGAUUUUCUUUGGUUUUCAUUUUUCAUUUUUUAUUUUUUUUCAACAGAUGAUCCAUCUUCCUCAUAAACAUUAUACAUUUUUGGUAAAUAUCAGGAACAUUGUUUAUAAAAAAUUUAAAUUCAUGAUUAAUACUUUUUUCAAAUAUAUGUUUUAAUAUCUACAUUUUUCAUAGACACUUUACAUUAUUUACAUACAUAAGCAGCAUUUUUAUACAGGUUUAACCUUUUUUAAAUAUGUGAUUAACAUUUUUUUGAAAUAUAUUAUUUUUAUGUCUUAUUUUUCAUACGCAUUUGUACAUUUUUUGUAUUAAAAAAUCAAACUGUUUAUACAUGUUUAACCGUAUUUUAUAAUGUCACAUACAUUUUUAUUGAAAAAGGUGAACAUUUUCUAUACAUUAUGAUUGUACAUUUUUAUACACAUUAGGAACAUCUUUUAUACAGGUUUAACAUUUCAUAAAUACAUGAUUAACAUUUUCUUCAAACAUAUGUUAUUGAUGUCUACUUUUUUCAUACAUAUUUGUAUAUUUUUUGUAUAAAUCAAGAACAUUUUUUAUUCAGAUCUAUUUUUUUCACAUACAUGAUUAACAAUAUUUUAUAAUUCACAUACAUUUUAUUGGAACGUGUGAAUUUUUAAAAAUUCACACGAACAUUUCUGUUUACAUGCUAUCGAUUUUUUUAAUUAAGCUAAGAAUUAUUUUUUACAUUGCGUUAACAUUUCUCCAUAUUUUUAAGUUUUUAGUUAAUUCCACGAUUUUGGAGUAUAUGUAUUUAUUAUAUUUUGGAAAGAGAAAAACAAAGGAAAAUACAAGGGAAAGGGCGAACUAACCUGAAACUUACCUGGCCCGGCCUAUUUAUAGCGACGGCCUGACGCGAGCGCACGCUCCGUCUCACAUCAAGCGACACAUCAACUCAAUUAAAAAAAAAAUCAAGCGACACAUAGUAGCUCCUCUUCUAGCAGGGGGUUAAACAAUCAAUUUCGUUGUUGGCCAGAGGCGUGCAAAGCGAGAUGCCGAUGUGCGGUGCAACGGUCCCACAGGUCACUGUGAUGGACCAACGAGCUCCUCUGUUGUAGUGCGACCCGAUGGUGAUGUGCCGACGCGGGGUCAUACCCUACGACAAGAAUGGCCCUCUCAGAAAAAAAAGAAAAAGACCAAUAGGGGGAGAAGCCCCUGCUGAUUUUUACUUCCUGUAUAAAAAUAUAUAUAAGUGUUUAGAUCACUAAAUAGUGAUCUAAACGCUUUUAUAUUUCUUUACGGAGGGAGUAAUAAAGAGGAUAACGUGUCCUGCGUCGGCCAGGUCCCGCUCGCUGGCCACUGGGCUAGGCCACCAUGGCCCUCUCUCCAGACUGGGAACAAGCCGCACAACAAACCAGCGUGAUUCCAACCAAGAGGACAAAUCAUUUCAUCCAGUAAUACAUUGUUUCUUUCUACAAUCUUUCUUUCUUCUAGACCUUACUGUCACUGCUGCCAAGCAAGCAGGGCACACACAUUCUCCAACAAGUCUAAUCGACACUGCAGUAACAGAAAGAAGUUCAGAGAUCCAUUGGUUCAUAAACAGUGAGCACCUUAAAGUUCAGUUCAGAGAUCGGAACAGGCUUCAAACGCUGUAACCGGGCUAAAAAGAUUUUACACAGGGAUAGCUCGCUCGCACGCACACAUCAUAGCGCUCGACAAGGCGUCCGCAUUGAACAAGCAAACAAUACAUCCAAUCCGCGCUUCGCUCUCGACAUUCCAGAUCCAAUUGUCCAACAAGCCAAUGCAUCUAAUCCACACAUCACACCUUUCUCUUCCUUCACCACGACGCGCUUUCAGAGGAAUCAGCUCUUCUUCCACACGGCAUCAGCAUCUGCGG